AAUGAUGGUGUUGAUAGUACUACGAAUGUUGGUGAUGGAAGUGAUGAUACUUGUACUGCAAUCACCAUCCCAAGGUCGGCAAAUAUGACUCUGCUUCAAUUGCCCAACCUAACAAUAUUGGUCAUCAGUAAAUGUGAAGUUUUGGAAUAUAUUUUCACAAGUUCCACACUUGAAAGCCUCGAGCAAAUCAAAGAACUGAUUGUAAAACAAUGCAAGGCAAUGAAAGUGAUUGUGAAGGAUGACACAGAGCACACAGAAACAUCUAAAUCUAUAAUAGUCUUCCCACGUCUCAAGUCCCUUACACUUGUAGAUUUACCAGAUCUCAAGGGUUUCUUCUUGGGGAAGAAUGAGUUCAGGUGGCCAGUAUUGGAAAAGGUUAAGAUUUAUGGCUGCCCACAAAUGAUGAAUUUCACAUCUGGUCACUCCAUGACUCCGAAGCUCAACUACAUACAUACAGCCUACGGCAAGCAUAGUCUUGAAUGUGGCCUCAACUUACAUUUGACCAAUGCUACACAUGAGGAUGAGGUAUGUUAUCACUUUAUUUCAUCAUUUAACCAGGUGAUCAGCAUGUCGUUUUAUGAUGUUCAACAUAUUAUUUGCUUACAAAAAUUAGGUGGCAGGUUCAUAUUUUUAUUCCAGAAGGAAACAUAAAACAAAAAACCAAAUGAAGAUCCAUAUAUAACCACUUCCCUUUUUUAUAUCCAUAAAAAGUUUUGAAAAUAUGCAAUCUUAUUUUUUAUUAUAAAUUAAUAUUUCAUUCCUAAGAUAUUAAGUUAUCCCUUAUGUUAUGAAAGAUGUUAUAUUCACUAAUUCAUAAGUUAGCAAUUUAAUAUUUUAAUCAAGUUAGAUGAACUAAAGACAAAAGGCCCAAUUGACGCAUUCAUUGUGGGUGGUUUUUUCCAUGUCCAAAGAUUUUUGAACAUAUACAAUACUAGGUUCCGUUUGAUUAAUAUUAAAGAAAAUCUAAAAAAAGAAAUUAAAACAAUAAAUCAGUCUUUUCAAUUUUGAUACAAACCUAGUGAGAAGGACCAACUUUGUAAUUUUGGAACCACAGGGACCGUAACCGCAAAAAUCGACAAACGCAUGGACCAAAUUUGCAGUUUUUGCUAAAAAAAACAAACAAAUCUAACUAGUGGCUUGGAGGUUUGGAGUCUGGGCAAGUAUUCGACUAAAGGCAUAACAAAAUAAGCACCUAAGAAAAAGGGCUUCUAAAAUUCACAUAAUAGUUUCUUUCCUUGAAAACAGAAGAUUUAAGAAUUUAUAUCAAAUAUAUGAAUAUAAAAAAUUAUUUUCUUGUGUAUUACAAAUGAUACUUGGCAAGUUCAUUCUUAUUCAAAUCAUUUGAAAGUUUAUAAAUCAUUAAUUAGGAACUUAGAACCAACAACUUCAUUCGGUUAAGAAAAAAACACAAAAUAGAUGGAAAUAAAAGCAUUAGCUUAUUUUACAUAUUUUCACUCAUAUCUAUUAACAAAUAGAUUUUUGUAUGGAGCUAUAUUUUGUAAUUGAAUCAUUUAUAUCGUUUUCAUCCAGUUUAAUCCAAUUAUCUAACAUAUUUUAUAAUAAUGUGAUGUUAGUAGUUAAUCAAGUUGUUCUUUUCUCUCUCAUCUUCUACAAGCUUGAUAUUUAUGUAGCGUUUAUUACCUAAAUUUGACAAAAAUAGUAUUGCUGAGAUGAUUGUAAAAGUAUAAGUAUAUCAUCCAUAUAUCAUUUGUUGUAUUUGACAAUGCAAUAAAAAUACAAUAACAUAGUUAUCUUUUUUCCUAAAAAAGUUGGAUGUAAACAUUCAGUACAUGAAAAACUACCUAUUUGAAGUAGCCAAAACACUUGACUUUUACAGUUUUACUUUUUAUUUUAUCUGCCCACCCCACACACACACAAACACAAAUAUUUAAUUUUUUUACUUUUAUUUAAAAAGACUCAUCAUUGAUAAAAUCUAAAUUGUUUAAACAAAUCGACAUUCAUUAAUAAAAUCUAAAUUGUUUAAACAAAUGCAAUGUAUAAAUCAGAAUUUUUCUUCACAGUGCUCAUCUUCUCAGAAAAUAAUGUAAGCAGUGCCAUAAACUAGGUUGUUGAUUGGAAAUACAUGUUGCCUCGUUUAAAAAUAAUAGAACUUGCAAUCCUUUACUAUGUUUAUAUACUAAAUGUGUUUGUCCUUUAUAUAUAAUUGUAGUGUUUGAGAUGAUCUAUGUUUGAUUUUUCUUUGCAGACUCAACUCCCUAUGUGCUCUACUCCAGAUUUGAUAAAGCUAGUUCAAUUCCCGUGGUCUUUUUCAAAUUUAGUUGAAGUAGAUGCACAGUAUGGUGACAAAUUGUUGAAAAGCCGCAUAAUUUUUCCAUGCAAGGAGUUGCUUAAUCUGAAGAAUCUUGAAAAGCUUUCUAUUACCAAUGCCCUUGGAUCUGUAACACAGGAGGUAUUUGAAGUAGCAGAAGGGACAAAUGAAGAUGUGGAUAUUGAAACACAAUCUGUUGUGGUAUUUGAGAAGCUGAAAGAGGUGACUUUGGAUACAUUAAAUAAUCUGAAGCAUGUGUGGAGGAGCAAUCGGUGGAUAGUGUUGAACUUUCCAAACCUUACAAAGGUCUCAAUUGAAAGUUGUAAGCUUCUUGGGCACGUGUUCACUUGUUGCAUGGUUGGUAGUCUAUUGCAUCUCCAAGAGCUAAAAAUAAGUUACUGCCAGAGUAUGAAUGUGAUUGUGAAGCAAGUUGAAGAUUCCGAGACCAGACCGACUACUGAGGUUGUGUUCCCUUGUCUGAAAUCCAUAACACUUGAAUGGCUUCCAAAUCUCAAGGGAUUUUGCCUGGGGAAGGAGGCUUUUGAAUGGCCAUCAUUAGAUACUUUGGAAAUCAAAUAUUGUCCAAAAAUAACAGUUUUCACAAAGGGGCAAUCAACUACUCCGGAGCUGAAGUUAAUAGAUACAACUUUUGGAUUGUGUCAUGCAACGGAAGAUCCAAACUCUUUCAUAAAGACCAAACAAGAAGAGGUAUAUGGUGUCUCCUUUGGUUAUUAGUAACAGAUUAAUAUGUUUGAUCAAACAAAAACUUUACAUUACUCUCUAAUUUACCACUUUCUUGUAAUCUCCUACAGGGAUGGCAGUUCUAGAGGAACAUUUGAAUUCGCAUGUGCAGUUUUUCUCAUUUUGAAGUCAGCUAUAUAUAUACAAUAAUAGGUAAGAUUUAAUGCAUUUAAAAUUAAAAUUUUAGGCAUUUUUCUGUUUGAUUAUUGGUCAUGUGAAAUGGUUCUUUUCUCAGUAAUCUUUGGAUAUAUAAACAUACUGUUAAUUUCNUAUAUAUAUAUAUAUAUAUAUAUAUAGCAUAAUAGGUAAGAUUACAACAUUGUACCAUGGUUUAUGCCUUAGGAUUUCUUCUAGCACUCAUUUGUUUCCUGUGUCCAUCAUCAUUUAAGUGUUUCUCUACUUUAUUUGAUUGAACUGACUUAAUGACCAACUCUUCUGCUUCAAGGUUAUUGAAACCCUGUUCCUAAGUAAUCUCAUAAAUCCCUUUUGUUAAAAGAUUUAAUUCACAAGAAAUUGAUACUUUAGACUAAAGUCUUUAGUUAAUCUUAUAUUAAAUCUAUUCUUUGGAUUGAUCGGCGAGUGCAAAUCAAGAAUUCUAGACGAAAGACAUAUUCUUUUGUUCAAAGUUCGGCCUCUUUCAUGAGGGCAUUCUAUUUUGACUUUUUCACAGUAGUCAAACUUAAUGCUUUUAAAAUUCAAAUUAUAGGCAUUUUUCUGUUUGAUUAUUGGUCAUGUGAAAACUUUUUUUUUUUUUUUUUUUUUUUUUUUUUUUUUUUUAUAUAUAUUUCCAUGUGUAACCUUUUAUUUUUUUCAUGAUUUUGUUUUUCAGGCAUCUUCUGAUUUCAAACAGCCCCGCUGCCACCACAUGUCCCUGAGUACUCCCUGGAACUUGUGUCUUGUGGUGGCUGGCGGUUGUUUCUGGUGGUGGAUUUGGCCAGAGAAAUUUCCAUGUGUAACCUUUUUUUCCUUGUGUACAUACUUAAAGAAAAAUUACCUGUUUUCAAAAGAAAAACACAAACUGGGUUGCCUUCUUGAUGAAUUAUAUUUCGUCCUUCACUCACAACUUUACCCUGCAAAUAACAUAAACAUACUUUUCUUUACUAUAUUUUAGUCCCCUGUUUUAGGCUAAACUUAGCUUCAAUAUACUCUAUUUUAUACUUAACGCUAUGUUACCUGUUAGUUUUAAAAUAACAUUACAUUGUAGGCAUCACGAUGUGAAGUAAAACAAAAAGAUGAAAAGUUAGGAUGAAGUGAUAUUACUUGAGAUCAUCCUCUAGUAACAUCUGACUUUGUUUAUGUUUCAAAGAAUUAGUUUAUUUUAAAUUUUCAUCUUUUUACAAAACUUAACUUUACCCCAAUUAUAUACUUUAAUCCGUUGGAUUUCAAGGUUCUAUAUUUCAAGUUUAAGACAGGUUUACAAAAUCUUCUUUAAAGGCAGUGAAAAUCAUCAAUUUUCAUAACUUUCAUUUUUUUUUUAAUUACAAAACAAAACACAUUGUUAAAAAAUUCACUAAUAAUAUUAAAAAAACACAAAUAUGGCUACAAUAUUACAAAACAACUAAUUUAAAAAAAAAAAAAAAUACUUCUCUUGCUUUUUUAGAUACAAAAUCAUUAAAAAUACUAUCAAGAUCGAUUUAAUGUAAUAUAUUUUUCUCUCUACAUAAUAUUGUCAAACCAUUCAACAUUUUUUGCGACAUCGAUGACUUUAGUAACUCUUCAAUAACUUUGGUUUUGAAAAAAUUCAUUUUGCAAUGUAACAGUGACAUGAAUGGUUUAAUAAGAUGCUAUAUGCAAUAAAAAUAUUUCGAUAACAAUCAACAACUUUAACAAAGUCCAAAAUUUCAAUAGUGUACAUUAUAUUAUUUGGCAAAGUCAUUUGCAACACCUUUAAUUUUGAAAGUACAUAGCAAAUCCUAAUUUCUAGGUUUAAAAAUAUCUACAAAUGAUUUUUUGAUUUCUUCUGAAAAGUGUUCCUCAAGAAAAUCCAAUAUUUUCUUAUGAAAGUAGAGUAUUUACUGGUAGAGAAUAUGCCGUCAGUUUUAGAGAUACUAGUGUUAUCUUUAGAAAAUCCCAAGUUUUCCUGAAACAGGUUAUCCAUUCUAGAGGUAGAGAUGUAAGACUAGAGAUUCUUGAUUUCUGAUCAGUAUAAAUAUGAAAAUAGUUUUAUUAUUCAAAAUGAAACAUUUUCAAAGUAGAGUCUGUAAACUAAGUUAGCUUAUACUUAUUUGUGAGUCGUAUAACCAUACUUGAUACGACCUAGAGACCUUUAUAACGUUCUUAAGGCAUUAACGUUAAAUGACAUUUGUACACCCCAGACAUGCCUACCUAACUGUAGCUAGCAGUUCAGGUGCCGGAUUGUCAGUCCUGAAUAGAUCUAUCCACAAAUCUCACGCUCUCCCUCCAGGAGACUCUGGUUAUACUAGAAGGAUUUAUCCAUGUACACCUAAGGGUACAUUAAUGAAGUAGCGCCUCACAAUUCUAUAUAAUCCAGUUUACAAGCUAGAGACCAUAGAGAACAAGCUAGUGACCAUAGAAAACAGUAAUUAUCCUUAGAUAAUAUACUUUAUGCUUUUGAGAAAAUAUAUUACAUAACUAUAGUUGUCAUAGUUAUAAUACAUUUAUCCCUGAAAUCUGAUUCAGUAGAGACUGUCUAGAGAUUAUCCCAAACUAUACCCAUUAUAGUUUGUUAGAGUUGAUAUAGAAAACACUUGUUAAACCUUUCUGUGAUUAGUUAGAUUUCCAAAAUAAUAGUUUUCCCUUAUGCUCAACAUAGUACAAAAAGGGAUAAAAUCUGAGUAUGUUAUAAAAAAUUGGAAAUAAUUGGACUGGAUUAACAAGUUUAAAACUUGAUAAAAUACUUUAGAGUUAUGGCUUGUAUUCCCCCCUUGAAAACAUUAAAACACGGAAAAUAUAGGGGUAUAAACUCACCUGUAGUGAGUGACUUGAAUGAAAGAUCGAUAUAGGAUUGUAGAGUGUUAAGUGAAGUCUUUGGCACAAACGAAUCCUAUUAACCAUAUAAUGACACAUAUAUGUAUAUAAUUAGUGUAUAAACAAAUAAUCAUGAAAGGUAACACCCCUUGGGACUAGGAACACUUAUACUGAAGUGCUACAAUCACAUAUGAUUGCAUAAAAGGGGGUGUAUGACCACUAAAUGGGGUUUUCGGUCCAAGUGGUAUGAUUCUAAUAGUUUUCGGUCCAUAUGGUUUUUGGUUCAUAUGGAUUUCAAUCCAUAUGGUUCUCGGAUUCAUAUGAUUUUCGGCCCAUAUGGUUCUCGGUUUCAUAUGAUUUUCGGUCCAUAUGGUUCUCGGUCACGGGAGAUGCACUUGACCGAAAACACCAAUUGUUCCAAAAAAAAAAAACGGAUAUGUUCAAGCCCCUAAUUCGAUAUCCAAACUAAUAACAUGUAAAGGAUGCAAGGACUUACAAAUUUGAAGGCUAAGAAUAGAGGUUUUUGGCCCAAAACACUUUCGUGUUCUUGAAGAUCUAGUACAAAAGAUGGAAAUUUGUGGAUGGAUGCAAAGAUGAUUCAAGAAGAAGAAGUGAUGUAGCAACAUAUAUAUGGAAGGAUCUACUUACAUUUAUGAAGAUUGGAAGAAAACUUGAAGAUCCUUAGGAGAGAUGUAACGAUCGUCUUUCGAGGUAUAAAUUUAUUUAGAUUCUCAAGUUUUAUUUUGGGCUAUAAUAGAAUUGUAUAUGGGAUUGGGCCUCUUUGUUUUGGGUCGAGACAUAGUCUGCCCAUAAGCCGUACGCGGGGCGUAAACCCGUUGUAUGCUGGGUGUAAUGAUUAAAUGAAACGCGAGGAGGAAAAGCGUACGCGCAGCGUACCAUAUGGUACGCCCGGCGUACGCGGUCAGAGGAAAAACCCUAAUUUUAGGGGUUUAAGGCUAUAUAAACCCCAUUAUAGCCUCCUUCCCUGUUUUCCCAUCAGCCUCCUCACUCUCAAGAAAACCCUAAGUCGUUCUUAUCCUCUCUUUGUGUGUGAAGAAGCUUUUGUGAGUGAUUUAAGGAAAGGAAGUGGUGAAGAAGGAAGGGAAGAAGUUGGAGAAGAAGCUUGAGUUCAGGGAUCUGGAUUUAGCACCCUCUUGGUCAGCAAAGGAAGGUAUAAAGUUCUGAACUUUCUUCCUCUUUCCUUCUAGAUCUAGGUUAUGAAAGUUUGGACAUUUUUAAGUCCAAAGGUUGAGUCUUGAUCUUGAAAGUCGGUUUUGGAGCUUGGAUUGCCAUCCUUAAGGCUCAGAAACAUCUUCCUAUCAAUAAAGUUACAAUCUUUGUGGCUUAUAUGGAACCAUGCAUGAGAUCUAGUUAGCUCUGUGGAAGUAGAAUGUUAUUUAUGGAAGUUUGAGCCUUUAUGAGACUUGUAAGCCAUCAAGUAAGCAACUUUAUGGCUUAAGACGUGGAACAAGCUUAGGAUCUGGAUUUGUAGCUUCUGGAUCAGAUUAUUAAGCAUUUAAUGAGAUUUUGGCUUAACAGGGAUGUACGGUGGGCGUACAAGCCAGUAGCCAGUACGCUCAGCGUACCUUGGUGUACGCCCCGCGUACGCUGCCAGUUUGGGCUUCGAGUGUUUUGGGACUCAAUGUGGGAUGAGUUUUAGACUUAGGGUCUUUGGGCCUUAGUGGCCAUCAGAAUUCAGUUGCUUUGGGACCAAGGACUAAUAUUGGGCUUGAGUAAGGCCCAAUAAAAGGUUUUGGGCCCAAUAUAGAAAAUUGGGCCAUUAGUGGGCCUAUAGUGGGGCCAUUGAUGGACUUAGAAGGAAUUGAGGGUUUGGGCCAUAUUGUGACCCAUGCCAUAGUAGGGGUAAAAGGGUCAUUUUACCCAUAGGAGAAUCCCUAUUCUGAUUUAGUGUUUUAUUUCCCAUGAUAGCCAGGAAGCAGCCGAAGCAGCAGUCAGGGAUUUCUCAUUCAGCAGUUCAGCAGUCAGCAUCACGAGGUGAGUUUCCUUCUAGUAGGAACGGGUCUACGGCCACAAUGACGGCCCGUUUAGUUAGCAGUAGUUCCGGAUUCGGUCUAAUGUAGUAGUUUAGGAUGCUUGGUGUCUUUGUGAUUCAAGCAUGUCUAUGUGUUAUGUGUUCCGGGAUUCGGUCCUAUGCAGUUAGUUCCGGACUCCGGUCCGAUGCAGUUAGUUCCGGACUUAGGUCCGAUGUAGUCAGUUUCGGCUUCUGUCACACCCCCGAACCAGACGGCGGAAACGUCCGGGGGCUGUCGUGACUCAAUUGAAUACCAUAACAUUGAAUAUAUAUGAAACAAAACAACAUUCGUCACCAUUCAUCAACAUAAUACAACCAGUAGUGUUUACAUGUCAUACAUUGUUUGAGAUAUUACAUUUCCAAAAAUUAAUAUUGUUUGGUUCAUUCAAAAAUAAACUGCAACCGUCACUGAGCAUGAUUUCCCUUGACUCACUGGUUUCCUGAGAAUACAAGUAUUUUGAAAAACGUCAACAUAUGAAAUGUUGGUGAGUUCAUAAGUAGUGUUUGAAAUCGAAUGUUUAUAUUGUUUGAAAAACACCAGAAAAUCCGAUAUUUUCUGAAAAGAAAAGCUUUCAAAAACGUUUGUGAAGAUCCAUAGGUAUGCUUGUUUGUUUCUAUACUUGCAAAAAUUGUUCAUUUAAGAUGUAUGCGUUUAAAAUCUGUAUGUGAUAAAAACCCUAGGGAAACCCGAUGUUCCCCUAGUUCUUUUGAAAUCCAUUGAGUUGCGUUGAAACCAUUACAAAAAUAGUAGUAUCGGUCCCAAGCGACGUUGGAAGGUUCUCGAGCAUUGAUUAUUUACUACAAACCCGCAUUACACAAAUGCCCGGUUUAUAGAUAUACCAACGAUUCCCGAAGGCGUCGUCAGUACUAAUCACGUUAUCCAAUCGCCCGGACUAUGAGUGGUCCCACAUCCGAAGAGAAAGAGGUCACGAAGACCCCGGUAACUCUAUUAACCGGCUGGGGAAAUAUGUGUGCGAGGGGUCCCCGACCCGCCUCGUAAAAUGUGUAGACUUUUCUAGCAAUACCAUGGCCCUUGGGGUCCAAUGAUACAAGCCAUUGAAAGUCACCCUACGUUGUGCCAAGUCGGUAAAACUCAACACUUCGUAGAAAAAAAAAUGUCUUCGGGCCUUAAGAUCAGGUCAUUGGGCUAGCUAGGCCCAACAAACAAGAUUUUACACUUUUGGGGCCCGAAGAUGGUGCGUAGACGUCUGUGCACACUCGUAUGUAUGUGUAUUACCAAUCGUUAUUUGUAUGUAUCAAAGAGUUAGUAGUUGUAGAUUUCCAUUGGCUCGAGACCGAGCCAAUUCGUUUAGCAACGACUUUUGGUAUUGUAAUGAGUUGUAUUUCGUUGGUAGUCGAGGUAUCGUUAUUUGAUCAAAUUGUACAUAAUGUAUCAGCCUUGAAAUAUUUUUGUUUUCAGCCCCUCAUUAUUUGUAAAAUUUACAUUUUCAACCCUUUUAUUUAAGUAUUUCCCGGUUUGGUCCUUAAACUAUUUUUCUUGACAUUUUAACACCAAAAAUUAUUGAAAUUAAUAUUUUCCAGCAUAUUUUUCAAAGAAAACAGUUUAAGUCCCUGAAAAUGCAGUUUUUCUCGGUUUUAGCCCAUCUUUUCGCAAUUUUGACAAUUUUGGCCCAAAAUGGAAAAUUUUUGCAACUUUGGUCCUUUUUAAAUUUAAAAAGCAUUUUAAACCUUUGAAAAGGGUUUGGGACACUUAUAGUCCACUGUUUUACAGAAAGUUACAGUUUUGGCCCUCCAAAACAGAAAAAUUCGCAUAAUGGGCCUUAUUGGGCCGAAAUUUGCAUUUUUAGCCCAAUAGGCUUGAAAUUUAUGUUUUUAAUCCACCAAUUGAAUAGAAUUCCAGAAAUAGCUUUAUUGAAACUGUUUUGACACAUUUCAACCAUCAGAAUCUGUAAAAUGUCAUUUUGGGCCCUUAAUUUUGUAUUUUUCACAUUUUUGGCCCAAAAUGUGUGUUUUUAGCUUAAAGAAAAUUGUUGCUAACCACUUGGCUAUUUAUCUAGUAUCACUUAUUAUGUAGGAACAUAUUUGAAGCUAAUAUCAUAAAACAUGAGUUAUAUCUCGGUUUUGAGGGGUUUAAUGGCUAGAUCCAACAUUAAAACACAUAUAAGCAUACAUAUAAGCAUGGAAAUCAUACAAGGCAUACAAAUACAUAUAGAUCUACACUUUCACUUGUAUUCCCCCCCACAAAAACUCUUAAAAACAGAAAAUAGGGGUAUGAAUCUCACCUUGAGUGGGUAGUUUCGGUUCUUGAAGAAAAAUUGGAAGAAAUGAAGUGAUUUUUGGCCCUUGCACUCCUUGAUGAACUUUUCGAGAUUAUGGGGUUUCUAGAGUGCAAGAUCACGGUUUUUACAUGGAUUAGGAAGAGAUUUUGAUAACAAAAGAAUUUAAACCAUAGAUCUAUGAAUAAUCUUACCUUAGAUGAUGAUUUACUUGCAAAAUCCUCUUGGAAAGUCCCUAAAUUUCGAGAUCUUUGGAGAGGGGAGGGAAGGAGAGUUCUUUGAGUGUUCUAGAGAGAAAGUUGAGAUAUUUUGGUGUGUGUGAUGAUGCUUGGCCGAGAGUGAGAGAGGAGAGAAGAAGAAAUGACUUUUGAAGUGAUUUGCAUGGAGAUAUGGACUAAGAUGCAUGGAGACAUGUUGGGUAAUAAUGAGGUGGCAAGCAAAUAGUCAACCCUUCUUCUUGGGCUUUUCUUUUGGGCCGAAAAUGGGAAGGAAAAAAAAAGUUUUUGGGCUUUUUGCUCCUAAGCCCAACAUUAGUGUUAAUUAGGGUAUUUAUUGGACUUAUAAAAUAAAAUUGUGAUUUUUGUGCUUUAUUAAGCUAGGUUAGGUUUAAUUAUGGAUCAAAACUUGUGUUUUAUUUCCUUCUAGGUUCUACCUAGCCCAAAAUAUUGAAAUAAACGAAUGUGGGUCCAAUUAGAGCCCAAUUAGGGUCCUAAACCCAUGAUAGUCCAAUUGGAAGCUUAUUGGUCCAUUUGGAUCCAAUAAGGAAGUCUUAGUCCAAAAUGGACUUAACCAAAACUUCUAGGGUCUCCAAUUGUUUGAUGACUAUCUAUAGUACUUGUAUCUUGUAUUUGGUUAAAGUUUUUGAUUCACAUUAACUUGAAUGUAUAGAUUACAUAGCUUAAAAUUCACAGUUGUGACAUCAUCCCCCCGUUAGAGGGAAUUUCGUCCCGAAAUUCUGUUUGAAAGCUAGAUUUGAGAAAACUAGAAUAGGUGAGGGUACUUCUGCUUCAUUUGGUCUUCGCGUUCCCACGUGAAUUCUGGCCCACGCUUUGCGUUCCACCGUACCUUCACGAUCGGGAUGCGACUCUGCUUAGUACGCUUCACCUCCCUGUCCAUGAUUUCGAUUGGUUCUUCGACGAACAGGAGAUUCUCAUUGAUUUCGAUUUCGUCAAGAGGAAUGACAAGGGUUUCAUCUGAUAGGCACUUUUUCAGAUUAGAAACAUGAAACACGGGGUGCACACCGUUUAGCUCCGGGGGUAGUUGUAGUCUGUAGGCUACCGGACCUAUUCGGGCGACGAUUUCGAAAGGUCCAAUGUACCGUGGGUUUAGCUUUCCUCGUUUUCCGAAACGUAUAACUCCUUUCCAGGGUGAGACCUUCAACAAUACUCGAUCACCGACCUGGAAUUCUAAGGGCUUUCGCCGUUUAUCAGCGUAGCUCUUUUGCCGGUCACGCGAUGCCUGUAAUCGAGCUUUGAUCUGGACAAUCUUUUCUGUGGUCUCGCGAAUGAUUUCCGGUCCUGUCAUUGCCCUAUCCGACGUAUGUGUUCUUGCUAGCUGGGUGUCACCUACUUCAGCCCAACAUAACGGUGAUCUACAUUUACGCCCGUACAGUGCUUCGAAAGGGGCCACCUUAAUGCUCGAAUGAUAACUAUUGUUAUAUGAAAACUCGAUCAACGGUAGGUGGGUAUCCCAAGACUUUCCGAAGUCUAUCACACAUGCACGAAGCAUGUCUUCAAGCGUCUGAAUGGUUCGUUCGCUUUGACCGUCCGUUUGUGGGUGAUACGCGGUGCUCAUAUCAAGAUGAGUUCCCAUGGCCUUGUGGAGCGACUGCCAAAAGCGUGACGUGAACCUACUGUCCCUAUCCGAGAUGAUAGAUUUUGGCACUCCAUGAAGUCUUACAAUCUCUCGUAGGUACAAACGCGUCAGCCUCUCCAUCUUGUAGGACUCUUUGAUUGGCAGGAAAUGGGCAGAUUUCGUCAGUCGGUCGAUUAUUACCCAUAUGGUGUCCAAUCCGUCCGACGUCUUGGGCAGCUUGGUCACGAAGUCCAUAGAAAUCCCCUCCCAUUUCCACUCAGGGAUUGCCGGUUGCUGUAACAAUCCGGAAGGUUUCUGGUAUUCCACUUUUACUUUGGCACACGUAAGGCACUUACUAACAUAAGUUGCGAUUUCCGCCUUCAUGUUAGGCCACCAAUAGUGCUGCUUAAUGUCCAAAUACAUCUUGUCCGAACCAGGAUGAAUGGAGUAUCGUGUCUUGUGGGCUUCCUUCAUAACGGUCUCCCUGAAUCCUCCGAUUUUUGGAACCCAAAUACGGUUCAUGAAGUAGUAUACCCCAUUCUCUUUGACUUCCAGGUUCUUCUCCAUUCCGCGUAAUGCCUCGCUAGUUCUAUUUUCCGCUUUCAUAGCCUCUGCCUGGACUGAUGCAAUUUGAGUGGUCAGAUGAGACUGAAUGGUUAUCGAGUGCGUUUUCGUACGGCGAUUUGUGUAUUCCUUCCGACUUAAUGCGUCAGCUACCACGUUGGCCUUGCCUGGAUGGUACUUGAUCUCGCAUUCGUAGUCGUUUAACAAUUCCACCCAUCUUCGUUGUCUCAUGUUCAGCUCCUUCUGAUUCAAGAUGUGCUGGAGGCUCUUGUGGUCCGUAAAGAUGGUGCACUUUGUACCGUACAGGUAGUGCCUCCAAAUUUUUAGAGCGAAGACCACAGCUCCCAGUUCUAGGUCAUGGGUUGUGUAAUUUACUUCGUGCGCCUUUAGUUGACGGGACGCAUAUGCUAUCACUCUUCCACGUUGCAUGAGAACGCAACCUAAGCCUUGAUUUGACGCGUCACAGUAAACUACAAAAUCUUCCGUUCCUUCAGGUAGAGAUAGUACAGGAGCGCUGCAAAGAGCUUGCUUCAAGGUUCGAAACGCAAUCUCUUGUCGGUCUGUCCACUUGAAUGGCACACUCUUUUGCGUAAGCAAGGUAAGUGGCUUGGCGAUUUUUGAGAAGUUUUGGAUGAAUCUCCUAUAGUAGCCUGCUAGGCCUAAGAACUGACGAAUUUCUGUGGGCGUAGUCGGAGUUGCCCAUCCUUCCACAGCUUUGACCUUAGAGGGAUCCACAUGAAUUCCAUCUUGGCUAACUACGUGACCUAGAAAAUUCACGCUCCGUAGCCAAAACUCACACUUAGAGAGUUUGGCGUAAAGCCUUUCCGAUCGCAGCGUUUCUAGGACUUGUCGGAGAUGUUGGCCAUGCUCCUCUUUGCUUCGAGAAUAGACGAGGAUGUCAUCGAUAAACACAAUGACGAAGUUGUCCAAGAACGGUCGACAGAUUCGGUUCAUUAGGUCCAUAAAUGCGGCAGGUGCAUUUGUUAGACCGAAGGGCAUUACGACGAAUUCAUAAUGUCCAUAGCGGGUUCGGAAAGCGGUUUUAGGAAUAUCUUCUUCUCGGACCUUGAGUUGAUGGUAUCCGGACCGUAGAUCUAUUUUAGAAAAAUAGCUAGCUCCUUGGAGCUGGUCGAAUAGAUCAUCGAUUCGCGGGAGUGGGUAGCGGUUUUUAACAGUGAGUUUAUUCAACUCUCUGUAAUCGAUGCACAUUCUGAAAGAUCCGUCCUUCUUUUUGACAAAGAGCACCGGAGCUCCCCAUGGCGAGUAGCUAGGUCGGAUAAAUCCCUUGUCCAGAAGCUCACUGAGUUGGCUGGACAAUUCCUGCAUUUCAGCAGGUGCCAACCGAUAUGGUGAUUUAGCGAGAGGAGUUGCUCCUGGAACGAGGUCGAUUCGGAACUCAACCUGUCUCUCUGGGGGUACUCCUGGAAGAUCUUCGGGAAACACGUCCGGAAAUUCACACGCUACCGGAAUGUCUUGGAUGUUAGUUUCUUCUUUGGUCUUGUCCACUAUGUGGGCCAAGAACGCUAAGUUGUUCUUUCGCAGAUGUUUUUGUGCUUUGAUGCACGAGAUAAGACGAAGAUUCGUGCUAGGUUUGUCUCCGUAAAUUACUAGGGUUUCGUGAUUCGGGAGACGAAGGCGAACGGCCUUCUCGUGGCACAUAAUCUCAGCAUGGUGGGGGCUUAACCAAUCCAUGCCGAUAAUCACAUCGAAACUCCUAAUUGAUACUGGCAUUAGGUCUAUUCGAAAGACGUGCUGGUUAAGGGUUAGGGUACAUCCGAUGUAGAUCUCCCUAGUGGAUUCGGUUUUCCCAUUGGCCAUUUCCACCGUAUAGGUUUCAUUUAGCUUCUGGGGUUGUUGUUUUAGUAAAUGUUUAAACUUCUCGCUUACGAAACUUCGCUCCGCUCCGGUAUCAAAUAAGAUGCAUGCAUAAGUGUGGUUUAGGAGAAACGUACCGGUCACAACUGCGGGAUCUUGAACUGCAUCACUCUGACCCAUAGUCAGCAUUCUUCCUGUUCCUCUGUUUCCGGAGUUGUUGUUGUUGUUAGGGCAAUCUCGACGGAAAUGUCCCGUCCUUCCACACCCGAAACAGGUGUGGCUAGGCCCUGCGUUGUUGCCGCCGGCAUUGGUGUUGUUGAUGUUGCGGUGAUUGUUGUUGUUGUUCUGGUUGUUUCCCUGACUCUGGUUCUGAGAAGGAUAAGUCCUGCAGAACUUUGCAGUGUGUCCCCUUCGGUUGCAACUGGUGCAAUGGAACUCCCUACAUUCUCCUUGGUGAUGGAAACCGCACUUGUUGCAUUUGGGAUGAGUGCCGGAAUAGGGUCUUGAAGUAUUUGAAGUAGCUGAGGCUGGAGCAUGUGAUGUGACUGGUACCGGCGCAGUGACAGCGUGAACUGCCACCGUUUGCUGCUUUUUAGAGGUCUCGGGACCUUGACGCCCCUUCCUCUUGUUGUUCCAUCCCUUCUUACCAUCGCUCUCCUUCUUCUUCUCAGUCUCUACCGGUUUCUCGCCCUUUUUGUGGUUAUGAUCAUAGAGCCUCUUUGCCAAUCUCUUCGCGCUGUCAAACGUUUCAGGGUUAGCAGCUAUCACAUUCCCUUGAAUGGGGGAUGUCAAUCCCCAAAUGAAUCGUUCAAUCUUCUUCCCCUCUGAUGUGAUCAUACCCGGGCACAACAGAGAUAGUUCGCUGAAUCUCGAUAUGUAAGCAUCGAUGUUCCCAUUCUGCACCGUGAGAUUCCAUAGUUCCUGCUCCAUCUUCUGUAUUUCGCCUCGGGGGCAGUACUCAGCCGUCAACAUCUCUUUCAUCUCUGCCCAGGGAAUAGAGUUGGCGACAGGGAGUGUCAUAGCUUCCACAUGACCAUUCCACCAAGUGAGUGCUUGGUCCACAAAAGUGCAGGCCGCGAACUUCACUUUCAUCUGCUCGGGGCACUCGCAUAUCUCGAAUACCGACUCUACCUUCUCGAUCCAUCGCUUUAGGGCGAUCACUCCUCCGGUACCGUUGAAAGUUCGGGGUUUAGCGUUCGCAAAAUCCUUGUAGGUGCACGUUUUAGUGAGUCCUUGGUUCGUCCCGUUGUUCGAACUUCCGGAUCCUUGCCCGUUACCUCCUCCGUUGUUCCCUCGGUGAAGUUGUGCCAUAGCCGCUGUGACCGCAGCAGACACGGCUGCCUGGAAAGCAGUGGAGUCAACUUCCGGCGGGGUUGGUUCGGGAUUUCCGCGAGUAGCUGGGCGAGGCAUCUUUCUGUCAUGAAACGGAAAGAUGUUGAGUGUACGUGGUUUCGGUGAGGUUAUGAUCCUACUAACUAGGUGUAUGGUACGAACCUAAGCAUUACUAUCAUCAAGCAUACAAUCAUAACGCCUCAACAUAUAACAACUGAGAAUAUCAUAGCAAAACACACAAAAGUUUAUUAAUAUUAUCCGCAUUUAGUACAAGAAAAUUUGCUCGUAGGAGCAUACAUAAGUAACACUAAUCCGACAGCAUAACGGCUCCAUGAGUAGUGUAGUCACUUAAACAUAGAGCCGGAGUACAUAACAUAGUUACUAAUAUCCUACUACGAUAGGUCUAUCCCUAACCGCGAUGAGCUGCGUCAGGAGGUGGUGCCGAAGUCAUAUGCCGAAAUGUUGCGCCAGUAGCUGCGCCAUCUCUGCCAUGUCUCCUAUAACUUCAUCCCUCUCGUGCUCUGCUCUCACUGCCCGAGCUUCCAUAGCAUACAGCUGUUGUCGCAGUGCGGCGAUCUCAGCUUCGAGGGAACGGUUCUCCCUUGGGGGGUUCACUGGUGGAGCGGGGUGAUCUGGUUGUGCCUCGUCCUCGCAUGGUGGGAUGGGGUCCUGGCCCCCGACCUGACCCUCCUCGUCGUCAUCGUCGACCUCUCCAAAUUCGUAGUCGGUGUCUAUAUAUUCGUCGGGUUCGACGUCGUGUGCUUCUCCUGGAUGCUCUCCCGGCUCAUCCACCAGCAUCCCGUGAGCUACUAAGGCCUGAUGAAACUGGAUACCCGGCUGCUCCUCCUCAGGCUCCUCCUCCUCCUCUAGCCACCCGUUGUUUCCCUGAUUAGGGAAGUAGGGGUCUCCAGGGUGAUGAAAACCAGCCAUGCUGUCUGCGCGAGUACGUAAUUAUGCUACAUUAUUCCUAGGGUACUAUGACUAUUACACAGACUAAGCAAAUAUUCUCUUUUUGGGUGAUAUAGGGUAAAAUUUUUAGGUUCCCUGGCUAUUCCGAUCUCAUCAAGACAUGUGUUAGUUUUACCUUGGAGAGAAUGUAGUUGAUCAGGCUACAUUCACUCCUUGGUAUCACUAAGAACAGUCCCGAAUUAACCGAGAUACCAGUAUUAUGGUGUUUGAUUCAGCGUUAGGUCCUUACUCCUAAUGCAAGCAAGUGUAUUUUAUUCAUUUGUUUUGUUCAGAGUUAUGUUAGUCCCUCUUUUUGGUUUAUAGUUGCAUAUCAAUGUAUGGCUCGACAUGCUAGUUCACUAUAAACAAAGCUCUGAUACCAACCUGUCACACCCCCGAACCAGACGGCGGAAACGUCCGGGGGCUGUCGUGACUCAAUUGAAUACCAUAACAUUGAAUAUAUAUGAAACAAAACAACAUUCGUCACCAUUCAUCAACAUAGUACAACCAGUAGUGUUUACAUGUCAUACAUUGUUUAAGACAUUACAUUUCCAAAAAUUAAUGUUGUUUGGUUCAUUCAAAAAUAAACUGCAACCGUCACUGAGUAUGAUUUCCCUUGAUUCACUGGUUCCCUGAGAAUACAAGUAUUUUGAAAAACGUCAACAUAUGAAAUGUUGGUGAGUUCAUAAGUAGUGUUUGAAAUCGAAUGUUUAUAUUGUUUGAAAAACCACCAGAAAAUCCGAUAUUUUCUGAAAAGAAAAGCUUUCAAAAACGUUUGUGAAGAUCCAUAGGUAUGCUUGUUUGUUUCUAUACUUGCAAAAAUUGUUCAUUUAAGAUGUAUGCGUUUAAAAUCUGUAUGUGAUAAAAACCCUAGGGAAACCCGAUGUUCCCCUAGUUCUUUUGAAAUCCAUUGAGUUGCGUUGAAACCAUUACAAAAAUAGUAGUAUCGGUCCCAAGCGACGUUGGAAGGUUCUCGAGCAUUGAUUAUUUACUACAAACCCGCAUUACACAAAUGCCCGGUUUAUAGAUAUACCAACGAUUCCCGAAGGCGUCGUCAGUACUAAUCACGUUAUCCAAUCGCCCGGACUAUGAGUGGUCCCACAUCCGAAGAGAAAGAGGUCACGAAGACCCCGGUAACUCUAUUAACCGGCUGGGGAAAAAUGUGUGCGAGGGGUCCCCGACCCGCCUCGUAAAAUGUGUAGACUUUUCUAGCAAUACCAUGGCCCUUGGGGUCCAAUGAUACAAGCCAUUGAAAGUCACCCUACGUUGUGCCAAGUCGGUAAAACUCAACACUUCGUAGAAAAAAAAUGUCUUCGGGCCUUAAGAUCAGGUCAUUGGGCUAGCUAGGCCCAACAAACAAGAUUUUACACUUUUGGGGCCCGAAGAUGGUGCGUAGACGUCUGUGCACACUCGUAUGUAUGUGUAUUACCAAUCGUUAUUUGUAUGUAUCAAAGAGUUAGUAGUUGUAGAUUUCCAUUGGCUCGAGACCGAGCCAAUUCGUUUAGCAACGACUUUUGGUAUUGUAAUGAGUUGUAUUUCGUUGGUAGUUGAGGUAUCAUUAUUUGAUCACAUUGUACAUAAUGAAUCAGCCUUGAAAUAUUUCUGUUUUCAGCCCCUCAUUAUUUGUAAAAUUUACAUUUUCAACCCUUUUAUUUAAAUAUUUCCCGGUUUGGUCCUUAAACUAUUUUUCUUGACAUUUUAACACCAAAAAUUAUUGAAAUUAAUAUUUUCCAGCAUAUUUUUCAAAGAAAACAGUUUAAGUCCCUGAAAAUGCAGUUUUUCUCGGUUUUAGCCCAUCUUUUCGCAAUUUUGACAAUUUUGGCCCAAAAUGGAAAAUUUUUGCAACUUUGGUCCUUUUUAAAUUUAAAAAGCAUUUUAAACCUUUGAAAAGGGUUUGGGACACUUAUAGUCCACUGUUUUACAGAAAUUCACAGUUUUGGCCCUUCAAAACAGAAAAAUUCGCAUAAUGGGCCUUAUUGGGCCGAAAUUUACAUUUUUAGCCCAAUAGGCUUGAAAUUUAUGUUUUUAAUCCACCAAUUGAAUAGAAUUCCAGAAAUAGCUUUAUUGAAACUGUUUUGACACAUUUCAACCAUCAGAAUCUGUAAAAUGUCAUUUUGGGCCCUUAAUUUUGUAUUUUUCACAUUUUUGGCCCAAAAUGUGUGUUUUUAGCUUAAAGAAAAUUGUUGCUAACCACUUGGCUAUUUAUCUAGUAUCACUUAUUAUGUAGGAACAUAUUUGAAGCUAAUAUCAUAAAACAUGAGUUAUAUCUCGGUUUUGAGGGGUUUAAUGGCUAGAUCCAACAUUAAAACACAUAUAAGCAUACAUAUAAGCAUGGAAAUCAUACAAGGCAUACAAAUACAUAUAGAUCUACACUUUCACUUGUAUUCCCCCCCACAAAAACUCUUAAAAACAGAAAAUAGGGGUAUGAAUCUCACCUUGAGUGGGUAGUUUCGGUUCUUGAAGAAAAAUUGGAAGAAAUGAAGUGAUUUUUGGCCCUUGCACUCCUUGAUGAACUUUUCGAGAUUAUGGGGUUUCUAGAGUGCAAGAUCACGGUUUUUACAUGGAUUAGGAAGAGAUUUUGAUAACAAAAGAAUUUAAACCAUAGAUCUAUGCAUAAUCUUACCUUAGAUGAUGAUUUACUUGCAAAAUCCUCUUGGAAAGUCCCUAAAUUUCGAGAUUUUUGGAGAGGGGAGGGAAGGAGAGUUCUUUGAGUGUUCUAGAGAAAAAGUUGAGAUAUUUUGGUGUGUGUGAUGAUGCUUGGCCGAGAGCAAGAAGGGAGGAGAGAAAGAAGUGACUCUUGAAGUGAUACAUGCAUGGAGGUAUGUGAUUUGUGCCUAGAAAUCCAUUAGGUAAUAGUGAGGUGGCAACCAAAGUCAACCUCCCUUGGAUUUGGGCCUUGGGCCGAGAAUAUGAAGGGGAAAGAGGAAAAAUUUGGGCUUUUGCCCCUAAGCCCAACAUUAGAGGUAGUUUAGGGUAUUUAUUGGACUUAUAAAAUAAAAUUGUGAUUUUUGUGCUUUAUUAAGCUAGGUUAGGUUUAAUUAUGGAUCAAAACUUGUGUUUUAUUUCCUUCUAGGUUCUACCUAGCCCAAAAUAUUGAAAUAAACGAAUGUGGGUCCAAUUAGAGCCCAAUUAGGGUUCUAAGCCCAUGAUAGUCUAAUUGGAAGCUUAUUGGUUCAUUUGGAUCCAAUAAGGAAGUCUUAGUCCAAAGUGGACUUAACCAAAACUUCUAGGGUCUCCAAUUGUUUGAUGACUAUCUAUAGUACUUGUAUCUUGUAUUUGAUUAAAGUUUCUGAUUCACAUUAACUUGAAUGUAUAGAUUACAUAGCUUAAAAUUUACAGUUGUGACAGCUUCAGUCCGAUGCAGUUUCCGGACUUUGGUCCGAUGGAGAGGGCAAGGCCCUGGUUAGUUCCGGACUUCAGUCCAAUGCCGUUUCCGGACUUCGGUCCGAUGCAGUGGGCAAGGCCCAAGAUGUGUUUAUAUGUUAUUGUAUGGUAUGUGAUAGUUUGGGGGAACUCACUAAGCUUCGUGCUUACAGUUUUCAGUUUUGGUUUCAGGUACUUCCGCAUUGCACACACUACAACUUCAGUUUUAUUCCUGGGAGUUUUUCUUAGUUAUGAUGUGAUACAGUUCCGAUACAGUUUGUGAUACGACAUUUUAUUAUGGUUUGAAAUAUUUAACGUAUGGGUUUUAUAUUAUGACAUUCAGUAUAUGAUUUUAGUAUUAUUAAACAAAAAUUUUUGGGACGUAUUUUUGGGUCGUUACAAGUUGGUAUCAGAGCCUUGGUUUGAGGGAUUCGGAUACACUUUCGGGUGUGUCUUGAUGGGUUUUGGCCAUAUGAACAUUCCUAUGUGCACAUGCAAACCCUAAUGCUUGGAUCUAGGUUUCUCUAAUUAAACAUGCUUUCUAUCCAAGACUUCUAAUGACUAAUUAGGUAUAAGAACAAUACAAAAUCAGAUCUAGAAGCUUACCUUUGAAUCUCUUGUUUGAUCUUGUUGUCUUGGAGCUCUAGAGUCACAAUUGUCACUCCUCUAAUGGCUUACAAACACCAACUAGCAAGGAGGAUGAUUUGAGAGAGAGGUUGGAGGAAGAAAUCGGCCAGAGUAUCUUUACUAUGUUGGAGGUGCCGAUUUCCCUUACCCAAGGGGUCUAUUUAUACUUGUAAGGCUCUUAGGGUUUCACCCUUAAACCCUAAUUGGAUAACUUAAACUUUAAGUAAUCCUAAUCCCUAUCUAAGAUAGCCUUGGACGAUUUUAGGCUUAUCCUAGCCCUAGAAAUCGUCCAUACCCUAUCCCAUAAGGAUUUACAGCCCAAAGUGUAACUAUCAGACAAUUGACAGUUUAUACCCUCUUAUUUAAUUAAUCUCUUUAAGUCACCAAAUUAAUACUAAUCAAUCUAUGACUUAUAUUAAUUAAAUAACUAUAUUAUUAUUCCUUAUAUUAUUCUCAUAAUAUAUUAAUAAUAUCUAUUCUCUCAUAAUAAAUCAUCCUGUCAAGUUGCUAUGGUGAAGGCAACCCAAAAGGACCAUGCACAAUCGGGUCAAAUACUUGCAUAAUAUAGUUGCAGCCUUAGACACUAUUCCAACAUGUCUGAACUCAAACUAAGGAAAUGGUAAAAGAUUUUUAAAAGAAAAACAUUUUUGAAAAAGAACUUAGAAAUAAAAGAGUUUUGAUAAGAGAAAAGGGUGUGGUGCAUGUGAUCAGCCGAGCUCAAGUAAGUACUCCCAAAUUACCCAUACAAGUUUAUAUUAUGAUUAUCUGCUUCAGUUUCAGUAGAACAACAUGCUAGUAUAGGACUAAGGAUCUAUGAGGAUGUCUUAUGUGCCUACUUUAUGUGUUUCAGCUUUAUGAGAAUUGCAUGCUAGUAUUUGAGUAGACAGCAGUAGGAUAGCCUGAUUAGGUUAUGCCUGGUAAUAUGAGCUUAGCAUUGUAUGCUAGUACAAUUUCUCAUUAUGAGGAUAGAAUUGUUUGAGUAGUUUCCUGUGUCCGAAUGCUACUUGCUUUGUGCUUUGUGGGACUCUGAGUAAUGGGAGUUAGCCAUUAGGUGAAUACGUCACAUCACAUGUGAUCAGGGUUGAAUAAUCUCAGAGUGUUGGAUUUGGCCCUACUGCACAGCUCUCGUUUGAGUCUAACCGUUAUAGGGAUGACUCUUUUACUCGAAGGAUUAUCCGAGCCUCAUCACAUGUGAUGGUAUUCAGGUGAUGACUAAUUGGCAUUACAAGGAGGCCUGCAGCGACUGAUGACUGGUUUUGGUUGAGUCAGAGAUUUCCCUAGUGCAAGCCUAGGAUGAGAGUAGCAGAGAUUAGUAGCAAUGUUAGUGGCUUGGUGGAAUCAAGGCGGUCCUUGAGGAAGGUACAGGUAGAUGUGGAAGGUAGUAGGGCCCCAUACUACUGGAAGCAGAGGAUCUGUACUUGAAUCGAGGAAGGCUGAGAUGAGACCGGAAAGCCUGUAGUAGUAGUGAUCCCUCGAGAUAAAUCAGUAUUUCUAACGUUUAUCAUGAUGUGUUUUUAGAAUGGUGGUUUUACGCCUUAGACCAGCAGGCGGCAGUUCAGGUGCCGGGGAGGGAUCAACAUCAAGCUCGGGGGCCGAGCAGUUGGAUGAGCAGACUAGAGAGUUCUUCACUUCAGAAGUUACUUGUAUCAUUCUCGAGCAGACUCCAGUGAUCUUCUGUUCGAUCAAGGAGGGUAUACUAGAGUUGAUGGAGGAGAAACUAAGCACAUUCGUGCUGAGGUGGCGGCCAUGAUGGGGUCGCGCACACAUACGUUCAAGGAGUUACGGGCAUGUGGGGCUCCAGACUAUCACAGGGCAUGUAUAAUAAUUUAACCGUUCAUGUUAGAAAAAAUUAUUUAAAACAUGAAGAAGAAGAUGAUGCAUGUAAUCAAUGCAGGUACGGAAAUAUAAGCAUAUUGAUUGCAAACUCAUUUCCUAAUAAUAAAUAAAUUUAGAAGUACAAUUAUGUUUUCAUUUUCUCACAUUGAGGGGGUAAUGGGUUAUAUAGUCCAAUGAUAUUUGUUUUCUCUUCAUAAAUCAUGGCACUAUAAUAAUUUUGAAUGGGGCCAUAUACAGAAAACCAUUAUAUUUUAGUCAUUUUUUUCUGUUCAACAUAUUUUCAUUUACUUUCUUAUUAUAGCAUCAUACUUUCAUUUCUUCCAGUUAUAGCAUCAUACUUUGAAAAAUAUACCCAAUUACACAUGGCUACAAUGGCUUGAUAAGAAAAGUUGAAAGUAGAAUGCUAUAAAUGGGUGGAUUUUGAAAGUACCUAUAUGCUGGUCUUGGGUCAUUUAUUAAAGGCUAAAAUGCUAGAAAUAGCAAUUUACUUUCAUCGAUUUGCUUAUCAGAGCAUCAUACUUUCUCUUUUUCCUANUGAUUAAUUGCUAAUCAAAGUCUGUUCAUUUUCAAGUUUUAAUUUGAAUAAAUGCUAAUUAGUUGUGUUAAUUAGCACCUUGGCAGUUUUGUUUUUUCUUGUUUCUAUUUCCUUUUUUUCCCAGCUGUUCAUGAUUGAUUUAGUAUACCUUUUCUUUCAUCCACCAUCUACUUGUUCUCUCUUGCCAACAAUAUAAAGCAUAGCAUACAACUGAUUUCUUGUUUUUAGUUAUUUGGUUAUAUAUAACAAGGGUAUUUUGGUCAUUUGACAAACCUUCUUCCUUAAUGGAGUGUCAAACACCAUGAUCUGAUUUCUCUUAAUUCAUUUUUUCACCAUAAAAUCCAACAUUAACUUUGAAUCUUUCACAUGUAGGCCCAGAUUUUUUGGCCUAGGUAGUCUUCUAUCCUUAUGCUGAUUCUGUGUCUUUCAGAAGUAUGCUUCUUAUGAUCCUUCCACUCGCUUCAUGUCGUUGAUUCUGUCUGUCACCACCAGAACCUCAUAAAAGUUUCUGCUGACGUGUCACACUAGUGUUGACCUGGAAUUUGUGAAAAGUCCAAUGCCAUAUAUUUUCUCUUCAUAAAUCAUGGCACUCUACUUCUGCUUGCCUUAUGAAAUCCACCCAAGUUUGGAGAAAUAUUCUAUGCUGACCACUUUGACCUACUAUAGCAGGUUAAAGUGGUCACAAUAGAAAAUUUUGUCAAAGUUGAGUGACUUUAGUGAAAUUAAGAGGACUAAACUUUGACAACCUUUUCAAUUAUGACCCACUUUAACCUGCUAUAGUAGGUCAAAUUUGUCGAUAUAGAAAGAAAUUUCAAACUUGGGUAGGUUUGAUGAGCUAAAACUGAAAUGGAAUUGUUAAACUGCAAAAAAAUGGCCGAGAUAUUGUGAUUUUUCUAUAUAUUGCCCUUUUGUAGUUCAACUUACAUUGUCGACGUUACUGAACUACCUUAGUUUUGGGAAGCACUUGUGCAUGUACAUAGCAAAUAGCUAAGCUUUGUUAAUUUAAAUAGAUCCAUUGAUUUUUCAUCUGUUGUUGUAGUGUUCUCAAGUAGGCGUUGCUUCUUGGUUCUUAUGCCAAUACUCCAAAAUGAUUUAUAUAAUUGAGUGUCCUGCCCUAUCAAGAGUGUUUCCAUCCAAUGUAGUGGGACAACUGAAUAAGCUUGAAGAGUUGAUAAUAGAAGAAUGUAAGUCAAUGGUGGAGAUAUUUGAAAGUAAAGAAAUAAACAAAGAUGGUGUUGAUAGUACUACGAAUGUUGGUGAUGGAAGUGAUGAUACUUGUACUGCAAUCACCCUCCCAAGGUCGACCAAUAUGACUCUGCUUCAAUUGCCCAACCUAACAAUAUUGUAUAUAUAUAAAUGUGAAGUAUUGGAAUAUAUAUUCACAAGUUCCACACUUGAAAGCCUCAAGCAACUCAAAGAACUGACUGUAAAACAAUGCAAGGCAAUGAAAGUGAUUGUGAAGGAAGACGGAGAUUUACCAGAACUCAAGGGUUUCUUCCCUCGUCUCAUGUCCCUUUUGCUGGCUGAUUUACCAGAUCUCAAGGGUUUCUUCUUGGGGGGUUUCAGGUCGGUUCAUAUAUAACCACUUCCCAUUUUUUGUAUGUAUAAAAAGUUACGAAAAUAUGCAAUUUUUUUUUAAUAUAAGUUAAUAUUUCAUUCCUAAGAUAUUAAGUGGUCUCUUAUGUUAUAAAAGAUGUUAUAUUCACUAAUUCAUAAGUUAGCAAUUUAAUAUUUUAAUCAAGUUAGAUGAAGUAAAGACAAAAGGCCCAAUUGACGCAUUCACUGAGGGUGGUUUUUUCCAUGUCCAAAGAUUUUUGAACAUAUACUAUACUAGUUUCCGUUUGAUCAGAAUCAGAUCAACAACCCCUUCUUCUUUACAGUGUCCCUAUUGUAACCACAAAAAUCAACAAAUACAGGGACCAAAUUUGCAGUUUUCGCUAAAACGUAUUUUAAUUUGACAAAAAAAUUGAUCGGUUUGUAGAAAAACAAAGUAUUCAAUUAAAGGAAUAACAAAAUAAGCACCUAAGAAAAAGUGCUUCUAAAAUUUACAAAAUAUUUACGUUCCUUAAAAAUACAAGACUUAAGAAUUUAUAUCAAAUAUAUGAACAUAAAAAAUUAUUUUCUUGUGUAUUACAAAUGAUACUUUUCAAGUUCAUUCUUAUUCAAAUCAUUUGUAAAUUUCAUAGAAUGUGAUCGUUUGGUACCUGACAUAAAUCAUUAAUUAGGAACUUAGAACUAACAUCUUCAUUCGGUUAAGAAAAGAAAACACAAAAUAGAUGGAAAUUAAAGCAUUGCCUUAUUUUACAUAUUUUCACUCAUAUCUGUUAACAAAUAGAUUUUUGUAUGGAAGUAUAUAUUGUAAUUAAAUCAUUUAUAUCGUUUCAUCCAAUUUAAUUCAGUUAUCUAACAUAUUUUACAAAUAUUGUGAUGUUAGUUGUUACUUAAUCAAGUUCUUUUCUCUCUCAUCUUUUACAAGCUAAACAUUUUUUUAGCGUUUAUUUCCUAAAAUUGACGAAAAUAGUAUAACUAAGAUGAUUCUAAAAGUGUAAGUAUAUCAUUUGUUGUAUUUGACAAUGCAAUAAAAAAUACAAUAACAUAAUUAUCUUUUUUCCUAAAAAAAUUGGAUGUAAAUAUCCGGUACAUGAAAAAUUACCCUUUUUGAAGUAGCCAAAACACUUAAAAGAGGUGACUUUGGGUGGAUUAAAUAAUUUGAAGCAUAUGUGGAAGAGCAAUCGGUGGAUAGUGUUGAACUUUCCAAACCUUACAAAGGUGUCGAUUUUUAGAUGUGACCUUCUUGGGCACGUGUUCACUUGUUGCAUGGUUGGUAGUCUAUUGCAUCUCCAAGAGCUAAAAAUAAGUUACUGCCAGAGUAUGAAUGUGAUUGUGAAGCAAGUUGAAGAUUCCGAGACCAGACCGACUACUGAGGUUGUGUUCCCUUGUCUGAAAUCCAUAAGACUUCACAACCUUCCAAAUCUCAUGGCAUUUUUCCUGGGGAAGGAGGCUUUUAAAUGGCCAUUAUUAGAUACUUUGGAAAUCAAAAAUUGUCCAAAAAUAACAGUUUUCACAAAUGGGCAAUCAACUACUCCAGAGCUGAAGUUAAUAGAUACAACUUUUGGAUUGUGUCAUGCAACGGAAGACCCAAACUCUUUUAUAAAGACCAAACAACAAGAGGUACGUGGUGUCUCCUUUGGUUAUUAUUAACAGAUUAAUAUGUUUGAUCGAACAAAACGUUUACUUUACUCUCGAAUUUACAACUUGUUGUAAUCUCCUAAAGGGAUGGGAGUUCUAGAGCAACAUCAAAUUUACACGUGUGGUUUGGUUCGUUUUGAAGUUAGCUAUAUAGCACAGGUAAGAUUACAUCGUACACUUAUUUCCUUCUUCCCAAUCAUGUACAUGUUUCUCCACCUUAGUUAUCUGAUCAUUGAAUUGACUUUUUGUCACAGUUGCUUGCUUACUACUCUUUCAUUUCGGGUUAUUGAACUUCUAUUUUCAAGUAAUCUUAUCUGUGAUGUGUCCACUUCUUGUAUUUAAUUAAGCUGUGACCAACUUAGCAAUAAUUACACAAGUUUUUAUUAAUUGGUCUGUACAUGUUCCACUAUUUUAAAUAGUAAAUAAAUUCAGUGGUUGAAGGUGCAUAGAAUGAUAAUCCAUCAUACAUGAAACUUUCUUAGCUCACACCAGGUAAGAAAGAAAAAAAAAUGAAGCUAAUUUGCUAGAACAUAAAACUUCUCUUAAUUCGACAGAUCUGUGCUCUUAAUUUUUAUGAACGCCCGGUGUUUGAUAAAAUUCUUCAAUGAAAAAAGACCCAUAAACUUUUGGCUCCUUUUUUAAGUCAAGUGUAUUAAUGUUUGUUUUGUAUAUGAGCACUUAAAUUUUGAGGAAGCGACUCCAUUUCUCUCUUGUAAGUUGAGUGUGUCAGUGUCACCCAUAUAAAAGCUUUGUUUUUCAAUCUCUGAAAUAAAAAGAAUAAAAUUUGGUUACAAAUAUCUUAUGUUCAGUGCCGGUUUCCAUCGCCAGCUUCAAUGAAUCUAUCUCAUGAUGAUUUUGAAUUAACAAUUGUUCACUAAACCUAGAUAAGUUACAAUUAUGCCCAUGACUAUGAGCCAUCCAUUGAUUAUUUUAAACCUAUUGAGAAACAGAACACUUAUGCAUAUUAUCUGAUUUUUGAUGCAUCUGAGGUUUAACAUUUUUUUUUAUAAUCAAAUUUAGGUUGAUAUUGGAGUUGCCAUUUAUAAUCAAAUUUAGUUUGAUAUUGGUUGGUUGUUUGUGGAAUUCAUAUGUUUAUGGAAUUCAGUGUUAAAAGUAUAAAUCAACAAAAAUAGAGAAAAUCACGCUCAGAUUCUGAAAAUGCCACUUAAGUAGAAAUUAUUUGAAGAAAAAACAUUAUAUUUUCAUUCAUUGUUUAAUUUAUCUCUUUGUGCAUGUUUUUGUUGACAUACCAUUGUACCAUAUGAUAACAUGAAUUUUUUUUUAUGUGGUGGCUGGUUUAGUUGGAUUAAAAGACAUUACCUGUUAAGUUGAUUUUAUGUGGUGGCGGGCUUAGUUAGAAAUAUUUUAUGAAAAACACAUUAUAUUUCCAUUUCUUCAGCAUCUUCAAACCUUUGGUCAUUUCUUUGAAGUUGCAUAAUGAUCAAUGUUGCAUACUUUAUGUCAGUCGUAUAAAUUUGUAUUGAAAGUGAAACACUGUUGCAGAAUUUGUCUAAAAAAAAAAUUGGUGCAUAAACUGGUCCUAGAAUGAAACAUAGUUGAAUAAUGCAUAUUAUGUCUAAAAAAAUAUUUUGUUGCAUAAAUUGACUAACAUGUGCAAUCAAUGUACGUGGCUUAAACAUGUUAAACCAUAUGGUUAAAAAUGUAAUUCAUUCACUUUUCUUAGAAGCAUAUGGUUCCUAGUACAAAUAGAAUCCUAAUAGACAGAUGAAAAUAAAAUCAUAUUCCUAACCAUCAAACGGCUCCUAGGUGAUUACUUCUUCCCUUUGCUCGACUCAAACGGCUCUAGCUUCGGCCGCAAAGAGUUGACGUUUGAGAUUGGCUAUUUCUUUCUCAAGAGAGUGUAUGUAGUCUGUAUCACUUUCCUCAAUAGUGUAUGAGUCUGAUAGGGCUUCCGAUGGGUGGGGCUUACUAGGUGUAUCCUUAACGUCCUUUCCUUCAUCUGACUCCUGGUUAGAUUCGUCAUAUUUGUAAUCAGUUACCACGUACUCUUCCGGUUCCACUCUGGGUCCCACCUCCCAUUGCAGGGCCUCCUUCAGGGUUUUCUUCAGGAUUGUCAUCUAGACCCACAUCAAUCUCCCUAUAGACUACUAGAGCUUGAUAGUAGGGGUCGUCUUGCUGCAUUCCUGCCAUAUUGCCCGCAUGGGAAGUAUAGGUGUGAAAAGUGUGUGCAUUGGGGUGUAUAAGGAUAAUAUUCUUAAAAUAUUCCUACAAUGUUUAUUUUUCUUAAGUUUAGUUCCUCUAACCUAUUUGGAUAGUUAGAUGGUAAGCUUUCGGUUUAUUGACCAUCACGAUUAUUCCCAAACAUAUGUUGAUCGUACUUUGAAUGAAUGUAGUUAAUCAGGCUACAUUGAUCCCCAAUGCGAUUACAUAACUGCCCAUGUUAAAUCGCAAUGUUCAAAUCCCCCAAAGACUUUUAUUGUUUAGUAUCAUGCUAUUAUUCUAAAACACGCACAUAGGUAAGUAUUUUAUUUACUCUGUUCAGAGUUAUUUAGCCCCAUUAUGUUUAUAGUUGCAUAUCAUGUAUGCUUAGAUAUGUUAGUUCACUAUAAACAAAGCUCUGAUACCAACCUGUCACACCCCUGAACCAGACGACGGAAACGUCCGGGGGUCGUGUGACUUGAAUUGAAAUAUUAUCACAAUGAAUAUACAAGAAACAUAACAUAAACAUGACCAUGCAGUAAUACAUUACAACUGACCUUGUUCACAUCAAGUACAUUGUUUACAUUACAAUAUCACAGAGCAUAAAUUGUUUAACGAUUGACAUUUGCACAAAAGAAAUUUCAGAAACACGCUUGAUGAUUCUUCAUUCUAACGGUUACCUGAGAAUACAAGUUAUUUUGAAAACGGUCAACAUAUAUAAUGUUGGUGAGUUCAUAAACAUGUUUGAUAUAAAAAUAGUUUGUAUUUUUUGUAAAACCCAGAAAAUCUGAUAUUUCCUGUAACAAAACUGUUUACGAAAAAGAUGUGAUGAUCUCAUAAGUGUAUAUGUAUGUGAUUUCAAAACAUGUAAAAAUGAAUGUCUUUCAUAAUUGUUCCUUGUAUUGUACUUGUAUGUAGAAGUGAAUAAUGUCGUUCCCCGGAAAACCCGAUGUUUCCCAAUUUAAAUAGUAUGAUAGUUUUGUAUUAUUGUAUAAAUCACUUUGCAUCGUCACAGUGUAUGAAUAUGAUUUCCCAUGAGUACUUAAAUGGUAAUGGAUCUCUAUGUGAGUCGUUAUAACCAUACAUAAUAGUGACUAAUUCGUCUGUCUUGGCAUUUUUCCUAACGCCGGGUUUGAUCAAGAUUUUGUCACCCUAGACUGGCCGAGUCUAACUGUAGCGAACAACUUAGGUGUGGAGGAGUCACCCCUGUAUAGAUCUAUAGACAAACUCUCGCUCUCCCUCCAGAAGACUCUGAUUACAGGCUACGACCGACUCUUAUUGGUGCAACCCGUUAUUUCUCACUAAAUCCCAUGAAAUUGAAUAACCUUGUUUUACAAUCCGAAUGAUGUUUACGUGAAUAUGAAGUAAGCCUAACAGUCAUGAAAGAGGACAACGGUGGCCCACUAAUCAUGUAUGUUAUUAUAGGUUGUCGAGUAUGCGACGGACAUGUUAGCUCAUCAUGCAUAUGAUUGAUUUGGACCAUACUAGCAAUGCAACUGGGCCAUUAAGGCCCAAUAACAUGUAAAAGCCAUUGAUGGUCCAUUAGGCAUGUAAUUGGGUCACUGGAAUCCCAAUAAACAUGUAUUAUUUAUGUUGUUUACCCAUUUUGUAUGUUAAUAGUGUCGUAAGAUUUGUUUCACACGAAGCUUUUAAUCGUAAAGUUAUAACAUUCGUCAAUCGUUUUAUAACAAUAUUCUAAAUUUAUAAAAGCAUGCAUUUUUAAAUCCAUAAGAUAUAAAAUUUUAUAUUUUUGGCUCAAUUGUUUUAAUAAGAGCAUAUUUGACCCGAAAAUAUUUGUUUGACCAAUUCAGCUCAAUUUUCACAUAAUAUUACGAUUUCAGCCCUUUUUAACAAAAAUGACAUUUUUAGUCAUUUUUAAUGAAAAAUGACAUUUUAGGUUCUUAAAUUAUUUUUCUUGACAUUUUCGACCCAAAAACUAAUUAAAUAGUAAUUUCAGACCAGAAUAUAAUCACUGGGCAGUUUCAGCCCCUUAUUUGGAAAAUUUUGCAUUUAUGGUCCAAAUUUCCGCAAAUUUCACAAUCUUGGCCCAAAAUCCAAAAACUUUGCAUUUUUAGUCCAAUUUGGCAAUAAAAUCAUUUUCAACCCCCUGAAAUUUAGUUAUUUAUGUUUUAGACUCAUACUUUUAUGAAUUUACAAUUUCAGUCCCUAAAACUCUUCAUUUUCGCAAGUUUGGGCCCAAAGAUCCGUGAGGCCCAAAUAUAAGCCCAUUAAGUAGAAUUUUAUAUUUUUGGUCCUUUGAAAAGUAUUAUUUUCAUAAAAAUCAGCUUUUAAAUAAAUAAAUACUUUAUAACCCUCAUAAAACCAAAAAUUAUCAACUUUCAACCCAAUCUUUAUUAUUUUUGCAAAAAUGACACUUGUAAAGAUCUUUGGCUUUGUUUUUCACUUAUUAAACUUAAGGACUCUUAGAUCUAUGAUGUAUGUUGUUUAUUAUUUUUUGUUUAUGAAUAUUUCACAUUUUAGCUAUAGAUCCCAAAAUAUCUUAAGUAUUAACACAUUAUCACAACAAAAACCAAAGAAAUCAAAUAUAACAUGCAAACACACAUAGAUCAACACAUAACACUUGUAGUCUCCCCCCAAAAACAAGUAAAAACUGAAAACAAUGGGGUAUGAACUCACCUUGCUUAGUUUCUCACGGUUUUGAAGAAGAAAUGGAAGAGGUUGAUGUGAUUUUCGGCCCUAGUAAGCUUCUUGAGAGGACUUUGGUUUAGAUGGAUUCUAAGGAGUAGAUCACGAAUUUUGCAUGAAUUAGGAGGAGAUAUUUUGAUGUAAUAAAGAAACUAAGCCAUGGAUCUAAGUAACAACUUAGCAAGGAUGAUGAUUUUUAUGGAAAAACCUUCUUGAAAUGCCCUAGAUCUCGAAAUUUUUGAGAGGAAAUGAGGGGUUGUUGUUUUGAGUGUUUGAGAGAAAAUUCAAGUGAGGUGUGUGUGUGUUUUUCUUGUCUCUCGGCCGAAGGAAAGAAAAAGGGAAGAGGGAAAGAAAGAAUGGCAUGGAAACAUGAGAUCAUGCAUAGUUACAUGUUGUGUAAUAUGCUUAGAUGACCACUAAACAAUAAUGAGGUGGCUAGCACUCAUUAAUCUUCUUAGUUUCUCCUUUUUUGUAUUGGGCCGAAAUGGGCUAAAGAAAGAGGAAAGGAAUCACUUUGGCCCAUUCUUGGUCUUGCUCGAAAGUGUGAAGUCUCUAUACAAGUUUUCGGCCCAUUGGGCCUUUAGGGUAGUUCAUGGCCCAAUGAAAUCCAAUUAGAGAGGGUUUACGGUCCAAUAAGGAAUUUAAUUCACUUAUGGCCCAAUAAGGCCCAUUAGUGUAAAAUGAUCCAUUUUAGACCCAUAAGGCCCAAAAGGUUAAGUUUCAUGAAAGUGGGUCCAAUUAGGGCCUAUUUAAGGGUUCCAAGCCCAAAGUAGUCAAAUUGGAAGCUUAUUGGUCCAUUAGGCCCAAUAAGGAAAUCCUAGUCCAUAAUGGACUUAGGUCGUGAUUCUUAGGGUUUUCAAACCCUAACUUGACUUUGUAAUGUUUUGCAUGAUGUUUGGGCUUUAUAGUUGGAUUUUUAUGAAAGUUUGUUGUUAUUGAAUAACAUCAUAUGCAUAUCAAGUUAUGGUUACAAUUUGUUGUCAUUGAUAUUGUUUACAAAAGUAUAGAAUUUCCUAGCAAAUUUGCUAGUUGUGACAGAUACGACCCGUAUGGGUCGAUUUGGUCAAGUCUACCGACGCAGGAGAUAAGUUCUAGAUUGAUGUGGGAAUAAGUUUUAAUAUUCCUUUAGGAUUCAAGUUUCCUUUUUUACAGUUUCUUUUUAUUAAUGUAUUAGUUUUGGAUAUUGAUUAGGUUUUUUGUUAUUAAGGAUUUUUUUAGGUUUAGCUGGACAUUAUAAAUAAAGCACCUUAGGAACACAUUUUUCUUUAUGCAUGGAAUAAAAGUCUUUGACUGUUUUUUUCGUAGAAUUCCUUGUUUCUCGAAUCACAGGCGGGUCGACUAAGGUUCUUACCUUUGGGAAGUAUCUUAAUCUUAUUAAAGAUCUAUGUCAGAUGCUGUUAUUUCACCACCUGAAAUAUUAACAAAAAAAAUAAUAAAAAAGUUUCCAAUUACAACUAAAAAGUUUCACUGCCCCUCUCCCAAAACAGAAUCUAGACCUCAGGUAGCAAUGCGAGUGAAAAGAGUGACAACAAUACUAGUAUAACUUACACCGACUCCAAAGGUGAUUUGGAGACACAAAAUAGGUAUUUUAAACUUCUUUCAAUCAUUGAAUUAAAAAGAGUUAGUCACAAGAAUUGUCCUUGUGUUAUACCCAAAGUUGCAUAUUCAAUCCAACUUUUUUUUUUUUUUUUUUUUUUUCUGUUUCAUUUUGGUCCCUAACAUUGGUUUUUGUUUCUGAUUUAUCACUGGUCCUGUAAAAUGACAUGUAACAAUAGUUUAAAAAUAAACAAAUUAUAGAAAAUUUUACAUUUUUGUUCCUCGAGUAUGGCUGCUUUUUGCAAUUUUGGUCCUAAAAUGUUUUCUUUUGCAUUUUUGGUCCUUAUUUGACAUUCGUGUAAUGGUUUUGGUCCCGGUUCCAAAUUAAGUGACAAUUUUUUCUCUAUGGGUGUGAUUUUGCAAUUUCGAUCCCAAAAAUAGCCAUUUUACUAGGAACAAGGGCAAAAAACGUUAUAAAAAUCUUAAAUAAGGACCAAAUUAGCAUGACACCCUUUUGGGACCAAAAUUAAAAACAUCAACUAUACUCAGGGACCAAAAAUGCAAUGUACUUUAAAAAGAAACAUAUGAGGGUAGAAAAUUCAUUUUAUUGUAGAAGUUGAACUAAACCUGAAAUGUUGGGAAUAACAUAGAGACCAUUCUUGUAAUUACUCUAAAAAGAAUAGAAGUUGGUAACAAAUGUCUGCCUUAUGAUGGGUGCAAUCUUUCAUCGCCACCAUUAUGACGUUUUGGACUUUACCAUUGUUCAUGAAACCCCGAGAAAUGACUAUAAUGCCCUUGAUCAUGAGCCACCCAUUCUGAAGGAGACACCAAUCAAGAGCAGUUACCCUGCUACUCUUGAAUCUGUCUCUGAGUCAACCAUAAUCUAAUCAAAGUUUCCCACUCGUUCCUUUUCUUCCCCUUGUUCCACAUCAGCUUCUGAAUGCAUGAACACAACAACACCGCCUAAAUAACAACAAAUCCCUCAAAACAAUUCACAUAUAGAUUCAAGUGUCAAUUCCCAUUUUCAUAAAAGAAGAAAGUCUUCAGCUUUUGCAUCAGUCAAGAUGGCCCACUUUGAUUCCCCUGACCCUAAAACCAAAUUUCCAGUGAAAGAAACCAUGAAUCUUGGUGAUGAAACCAAGAAUGAUCUAAAAAUAUCGUGUUCACUAUGUGAAAAACCCACUGGGUCUUGCGGAAAAUGACUAUUAUGUCCCUUGUUCUUUGAUGUCGUUAUCAAAGGUGCAGUUGUUGUCAAGCUGGAAAGGGAGAGAAAAGGGUCUCACAAGUGUAGUUGUUGUGGUGUCUGACAUUGCAUGUGUUGAUGGGAGAAUUUGGAAAAGAAGUGGUGAUGAAGGAAUUUGGAGCAAAGAAGAUGGUUGUUUAUUUAGUACGGCUUUCUACCCUUUCUGUAGUGAUCAAGUCAAUUGCCUUGGGUUACAUGUUGUGGCAACUGAUUCCUCUAAUGUGCAGCUUUUAAACACGGUAUCAUAUCAAUUCAUACUAUUAUAAUAUCUUGUCGCAUAUCCAACUGAUAAUUAUUGAGGGCAUAUUGGUCAUUUUGUUGAUUUAUGUUUUGGGAGUUGGGAGUUGGGAUGUGAUGAAUAUGAUCACAAAAUAUCUUUGAUCCUUCAGAGAUAUACAACCAACUUAUAUAACUUUUCUAUAUGCAGGUGCUCUUUUAUUCUGAAAGACUAGAAAUCCAACAUAUCGAUACAUCAACAACAAAUAACCUAAUUUUGCAUACGUUUCAAAUCGAAAGUGACUCCCUAAAAACAUUUGCAACUUUUGUCUUAUUAAAUCAGGCACACAGUCCCAGUCCAAUACAUACCAAAUGCAAUACAACCUGUUUUUUCAUAUACCGUCAUGUGUAACAAAGGAUUUUAAUUGAAGGAAGUCUCACCUUCUAGUGUUACAAGUUUGAGUAAAGGCGUCUCACAAAAUCCGUUUGAGAAAUUUGCCUACACAUCUCCACAAACCAACUCGAUGGGCUGGAGAACCACAAUAUCUAAGGUCAAAAAUCUCUAAUAUCUUGUUAUUUAUAGAUUCAUUAAACGUAUUUUAAAUUCUAGUUAAAGUUAAACUAUGUUUGUUGAUCAUGCAUAUGAGAUUACCAAAGAAAGUCCAAGUAUCCACUACUGAAUAUUGAUGCCUAACCUUACAUGUAAAUUCUCAAUCAUUGCUAAAUUGGUUUUAAACCUAUUUGGGAAAUUUAGGAUCUAUGGUUAUUAUAUUAACUUCAUGAUACAUUUGAGGUGUAUGACCAAUAAAAUGUGACUAUUGUAGUUGUAACAUUCUUUAUGACCAGCCAUAGUUUUAAUUUUGUUGUUUAUAAUGUUGUUUUCCUGAUUUUGGACAUGUUAAAUAAUCAACUCUAAUACGUUUUAAUUAAAGAGAUAAUAUUUUGAUGUGGAAAGUUGGAAUGAUCAAAUGAUUAGUAUUUAGUAGGUUAAGUGUUUUUAAUGAUAAAUAAAAUAUUUUUUACUAUAAAAUAGCCAACAAGACCAUAAAAGUAAUAUUUUGCUAAACAUGAAAUUAUAUUUCACUAAUUCAACCAUUUAAACCCUCUUCCAAGAAAACCAAUGAGACCAUUAUGGACUAUGAAAAAGAGAAUACGGAAAUGAUAGAUGUUGAAAUGAUGAAAGAAAUAUCUUACUUAAAUUUGUAUCACUCUUUAUUGUCUAAUCAUUUCAUAUUUUCCUAUUUGUUUUUCAUUUUUCAUUAGGUUUCAUGAUUUUUGUAGAUGGUGGUUUCUGAUAGUGAGGUCACAGAUUAAAUUUAUGUAAAUUUGUGCGUUCAAAUGUUAAAGGUCAUUCGAACGUAUUUGCUAUUGAUAUUUGAUUAUUUUUACUAUUAUUAAUUUGGCUCAAACGGAAAAGGACAACUCUUUGCAGUUAGAUAAAAAAAAAAUUGUGAUCGAAUUUACUUUGACUGCAUUGGUAAAAUAUGAAACAAUUAAAGAAGUUUGCAAUCACGUGGACAUAUUGCAUACUCAAGUGGUACCGGUUAGAGUCAUAUAUUCAAACACUUCAAUCUAAUACCAUGAGGGGAUAAUGACUUGGGAGGGUAAUAAGGUUUCCAGCUUGUCCGUAUUAGGUCACUAAGGUUUUUUUUGUGCGUAUUAGACCAAUAUGGUUGUUAUUACCGUUUAGAAAUAGUCCUUUUACCGGUUUUAAUGGGUAAAAAGGACAAUUUCUAAACGGUAAUAGCAACCAUAUUGGUCUAAUACGCACAAAAAAACCUUAGUGACCUAAUACGGACAAACUGGAAACCUUAUUGCCCUCCUAAGUCAUUAACCCUAAUUAUUUAGAAAACAUGCUUACUAAUCAAUGUGACUGAUUUGUUUGACUGAAAAUUUUGCUUCCAUUUAAACUUAUCUCACAACCCUUCCAGAACUUCUACGUCCAGAAACUCAUAUGAUUGAUGAUCUUCAUUACAUAAAUAUGCAACAUUUUAUCAAUAACUUCUUUUUUGUCAUUUAAAUGUUUACAUGAACACAUCCAUAUGUACAAAAACAAAAUAUCACUUUGAUACCUACCAUCAAUGUCUACAUUUGAUAACGAAUGGAAAUGUAAAACCAACAGGGACUUGCAAAUGAUGCCUAUUAUCAAUUAUUUUAUAAAAAGCAAAACCACAACAUGAACUAAGAAAUUGAAGUUGCAAAAUUAAUCAAAAUCAGCACAUAAACAAACACAUACAGACUAUAUACAACACAUAACGGAAGUUUANCUUAAUGAUAGGAAAAGUAAAAAACUUAAAGGAGACUUUAUAGAAAGAAAGAUCACUCUUACUUGCCACAAAUGGUUGAAGACAUCAACAAGAAGAUCAAUCUGACCAUAGAAUCCACAUGUUGUCUGAUUAUGAAUUCAGUAGAUGAACUACUGAAACGUAAGAAUUGCAAUUCAACUCUAUUAGCAUUUGAAAAGGGAAUUAGGGUUAAAAAAAAAUUGGACCAUUUCUUGAUUUGUGUGUGUCAUCCUUGCGCAGGGGCCAUGCAAAUCUUCCAUGUAUCGUUCCAAUUUUAUUGGAUGUCCCCAAAGGGACGACUAUAGAUGAAGAGCUUCGCCAUAUAGAGGAGUAGCAGGUUAUAUGGGACGACGCGAGUUCUAAACGAAGUAGUUUACUAUUGAUGGUCAUAUAUUCUUAAUGUCUUUAAAAUUAGUGUUAAUGACUUAGGAGGGUAAUAAGGUUUUCAGUUUGUCCGUAUUGGGUUACUAAGGCUUUUUUUUUUGUGCGUAUUAGACCAAUAUGGUUGUUAUUACCGUUUAGAAAUAAUCCUUUUUACCCAUUAAAACCGGUAAAAGGACUAUUUGUAAACGGCAAUAACAACCAUAUUGGUCUAAUACGCACAAAAAAAACCUUAGUGACCUAAUACGGACAAACUGGAAACCUUAUUACCCUCCCAAGUCAUUAUCCCUACCAUGAGUGUCCAAAAUUUUUUCUCAUUAUUUUUUCUCAUUAUUUUAAACCAUUUAAUUUAAUAUGAUAUGGUUUUUUAAAACACAUGUUUUAGUUGUUAAAUUAAAUUAUUACGUAAGCUUUUUCAAAUAUUAGACCAACUAAUAAUCAUCCCACUAAAUACAAUUAUUUUGAAAUUUUUUACAAAUUCUCUUUUUCUUUUUUGCAAAGGGAUGCCCAAAAUUAGGGGUGAUAUAUAUGUGGUGUAAAUGAAAUAUCACAUAUUAGGGAAUAUGAUUUAUCAAGGUAAUUAACUUUUCGGUAUGUUCACAUCUGGGUAACUAUCUUUUUUUUGUACAUAUGUAGGUAACAAACUUUUUGGAAGUGUUCACAUAUGACCAUUAUGACCUGCUAUAGCAGGUUAAAUCCUAGAUGUGAACGCUUUCAACAAGUUUGUUACCUAGAUGUGUACAAAAAAAAUAGUUACCCAAAUAUGAACAAAACGAAAAGUAAAAAUUAAAUUACAUGAAUGGUCCCUGUGGUUUGGGGAAUUUGUGGUUUUGGUCGCUAACUUAUUUUUUUUUAACUGAAAUGGUCCCUACUGUUUAUUUUUGUUGCGCGUUUGGUCCCCAUCUUACCUAAAAAUACUAUUGUGCCCUUAUUAAUUUAUUUUUUUAAUUAAUAUUCUUAUCUAUGUAUUUAUUUUUUACAUAUUCAAAAAAAUUAAUAGACCACACAUAUUUGUAUCUCCUCCCCAUUAUCUAUUUCUUUUCCAUCUUUAGUAACAUCGAUGUCUUCACCGUCCUUUUUUUUUGGUACUUCAACUCUGGCGAACCAACACCAUAACCUACUGUCUCUUCAUCUUUAGUGGGUUGUGGUGCUGAUUCGACGGAGUUGAAGGACCGAAAAAAGAAGUGAUGAUGAAGACGUCGAUAUCACUAAAGAUGAAAAAUAAAUAGAAGUUGAGAAGGAUGAAAGAUGGGAUGGUGAUGAGAUACAGAUAUGUGAGGUCUACUAAUUUUUCUUAAACAUAUAAAGCAUAAGUACAUAAACAAGAAAAUUAAUUAAAAAAAAUACCAAGGCAACAAUAGUCUUUUUAGGUAAGACAGAGACCAAGUUCAUAACAAAAUUAAAUAGUAGGGACCAUCCGAGUUAAAAAAUUAAAUUAAUUAAAAAAUAAAUAGUGGGGAUCAUCCGAGGAGAUACAAAUAUGUGUGGUUUUUUUUUUUUUUUUUAAAUAUGUAAAAAAUAAAUACAUAGAUAAGAAAAUAAAUUAAAAAAAUAAAUUAAUAAGGGCACAAAAGUAUUUUUAGGUAAAACGGUGAUCAAACACGCAACAAAAGUAAACAGUAGGGACCAUUUAAGUUAAAAAAAAAUAAGUUAGCGACCAAAACCACAAAUUCCCCCAAACCACAGGGACCAUUCAUGUAAUUUAAUUUUUACUUUUCGUUUGUUCAUAUUUGGGUAACUAUUUUUUUUUGUACACAUCUAGGUAACAAACUUAUUGAAAACGUUCACAUCUAGGAUUUAACCUGCUAUAACAGGUCAUAAUGGUCAUAUGUGAACACUUCCAAAAAGUUUGUUACCUACAUAUGUACAAAAAAAAGAUAGUUACCCAGAUGUGAACAUACCGAGAAGUUAAUUACCUUGAUAAGUCAUAUUCCCAACAUAUUAAGGUGGGGUAGGGAUCCGACAUUGUAUCGUGCUUCAAUAGAAACCGGUGGGACCUUUGACUGUUAGUGUAUUACUUGUGCUAUACUCUGUAGUAUGUUAGGCAAUGCUCUUAGUACCUAGAUUAUGACUGUUGACUGCAUUAUUUCCAUCCAUCCAAUACCAUGGUAUUUGCAGGUCAACAGCAAUAAUUGAGGCUUGUUCAUACUUCAAUAUAUUGGCCUUCUUCUUCACAAUUCCAACCAGUUGUACACAUACGCACUUUACAAAGCAGCAAAAACAGCAAGCAUUAGCACAGGCGCAUAUAGUAGAAGAGGUAUGUUUUUGUUGAAAGUUUUUCUCUUUGUUUAUGAAUAAUUUUUCUUAGUUGUUUUUUGUUUUCAAUCUAUCGAAUAUCGAUCCUUGACGAAAUUAUCUGAAAAAAAAUGUUUUGCGUUGUUACUUGUGGAUUGUUCGUGUAUGCUCCACAUAUAAAAUCAAGUAAACGUUUAAAUGAAUGACAGUGCCUCCUCAUUUCCCUCUUUUGAUUAUUGAACAAUGUUUUGGGGGAAUGUUUUUUUUAGGACAGAUGCUUCCACGUAGAGAUCAGUUCUAGCCCUAAUAUCACUGUAGGACUCUGUUUACAACUAAUAAACCCCUAAUUAAAAGGCACGGUAUUUUGUUCCUCAUCUCUCACAAUCUAUUCCCACUUUCAAUAAGAUGUUGAAAUUAACAAUCUAUUCCCACUUUCAAUCAUUUCAAAGAAAACCAAGGUUAAGUUGACAAGGGAAGACAAACAGCAAAAUUAACUAUGAAUUUACAUACACAUUAAUUUACCAACUAUCAAUUCUAUUCUAGCCAAACUUAUUAUGUGUCCUGAAUCCUGAAGGAAACUUUUUAUAACACUAAUUAUCUAUGGAUUGUAUAUGAUAAUUGAAAAAAGAUAGCUAAGCAAGUUAAUAAGUAAUAAGUUUUAACAAUUUCAUUGCCUUUUUUAUCUGUUACAGGUCUCUGUAAAAGCUAGAAUAUUGAAAGAUGGAGCUUGUAUCUGCAAUCAUUAGUCCUAUUGUUGAAUCUUUAAUUGCUCCUGUCAAGAAACAACUGGGAUAUCUCUUUUCAUCCACGAAUCAUGUUAGGAACAUGAAUACUAAAAUAAAGCUACUGGAUGAUACAAGCCGUGAUGUCAAAAAACACAUGGAAACAAACAAUAGAAGUAAUCUGGAGAUACCUACUCAUGUAACGGGGUGGUUGGAAGAAGUUGAAAAGACUAAAGAAAAAGCUCAAAGCAUUCCAAGUAUUGGGAGCGGAUGUUGUAACUUGAAAAUGAGGUAUCUAGUUGGAAAGAAGGCAUUCAAGACUACGGAGGAGAUGGAAAGUCUUAUUGAUGAAAAUAGUAAGAUAAUUUGGACAAAUGCUCAAAGACCUCUUGGGAAAGUGAACUCAGAAAUCGCAUCCAGUUCUGCACCUUCGGAUGGUGAUGCCCAAAAUCACUUCAAAUCAAGAGAGAAGUCUUUUAAGAACGCCUUGGAGUCCCUCCAACAAGAUCACAAGAGCAAAGUGAUAGCCCUAUGUGGAAUGGGUGGUGUGGGGAAAACCACCAUGAUGGAGCAACUGAAAAAGGCUGCAGAAGAUAAGAAAAUGUUUGAUUAUGUUGUGAAGGUGGUUAUUGGGCAACAAAUUAACAUGCUUUCUAUUCAGCAAGAUGUGGCAGUGUAUAUGAUGGGCCAGUCCCUCAUUGAACUGAGUAAAGAAGCUAGAGCAGAUCGUCUUCGUAUAACAUUUGGAAACCUUCUAGAAGGUAGAAGAAAGGUUUUACUAAUACUAGAUGAUGUAUGGGAAACGAUUGACCUCAAAGAUAUUGGAUUGAGUCCUUUGCCCAACGGCUUCAAGUUGUUGCUGACAUCACGAAAUGAAAAUAUUUGCAAACAAAUUGCAGUAGAAGCCAAUUCGGAGUCAACACUAGUUCGAGUGGAUGUGAUGGAAGAGCCUGAAGCAUGUAGUUUCUUUUGGCAAAUUAUAGGUGUUUCAAAACAAUAUGAUAAGGAUCUCAAACAAAUAGGAAGUGAGAUCGUGAGAAGAUGUGGUUUUUUGCCCCUUGCCAUUAAACUCAUCGCCAAAACCCUUCAAUUUCAAGAAGUUUUUGUAUGGAGAGAUACUUUUCAACGGUUGAAGAAGAAGAAUCUUGAUGAGAAUGUGCAAGAAGUUAUUAAGAUAAGCUAUGAUUAUAUAAAAACAGAGGAGGAAAAGGUGAUUUUUCUUCUGUGUGGCUUGUUUCCUGAUGACUUUAAUAUCCCAAUUGAGGAACUCACAAGAUAUGCAUGGGGCCUACAGUUAUUAAGUGAAGUAUCCACUUUGGGAGAGGCUAGAGACAGGACAAAAAUGUGUGUGCAGAAUCUUAGAAAUGCAAAUUUGUUGAUGGAUAGCGAUUGCAUUGGGUGUGUCAAAAUGCAUGAUCUUGUGCUUGCUUUUGUCAUAAAUACAGUUUCUAAAGGUCAUCAUCCAUGGAUAAUCAACCAUGGUGAUAUUUCAAAGUGGAGUAGAGCUGAAGUGAGAGAGUCUUGCAAAAGACUUUCUAUUACUUGCACAGGAAUGUCUGAGUUUCCUGGUGACUCUAAGUACCCAAACCUAUCACUUUUGAGACUUAUGGAUGGAGAUAAGUCACUUAAGUUUCCUGAAGGUUUUUAUGAAAAAAUGGAAAAUCUUGAAGUUGUAGCAUAUGAAAAAAUGCAGUAUCCGUUGCUUCCCAGAUCACUUGAAUGCUCCACCAAGCUCCAAACACUCAUUCUCCAUCAAUGCCUAUUGAUGUUUGAUUUCUCUGUUAUUGGUGAACUCAUGAAUCUGGAAGUGCUCAGUUUUGCUCAUUGUGGCAUCAGAAAGUUACCAUCCACAAUUGGAAAUUUGAAGAAGCUAAAGCUAUUGGAUUUGACGGGGUGUGUAAAUCUUCGUAUUGAUGAUGGUGUAUUGUUAAAUUUGGUCAAGCUUGAAGAGCUUUAUAUGAGAGUUGAUGAUAGAAAGGCAAUUAGGUUCACAGACAGCAAUCGUGUUGAAUUAGCAGAGCUUUCAAAUCAUCUUUCUGCAUUAGAAGUUGAGUUCUUUGACAACAAUGGUACGCCCAAGAAUAUGCUGUUUACUGAACUUAAAAGGUUUAGAAUCUCUAUGGGAUGUGGUUUAGGAGACAAUACUCACAAAAAUAUGCACUCAUUUGAAAACACAUUGAGGUUGGUCACUAACAAAGAUGAGCUGUUGGAAUCUACAAUGAAUGAGUUGUUUGAGAAAACCGAGGUGCUUUAUUUGGAGGUGGAUGGUAUGAACGAUCUUGAAGAAGUUUUAAUGGAAUCAGUUCAUCUCCCUCAGCAAGCGUUUAAUAAUCUAAGAGUCCUUGAUGUGUUCAAGUGUGAAAACUUGAGGUACCUCUUCACAGUCCCUAUUGCAAAUGGUUUGGUGAAGCUUGAGCGCCUCACAGUUUCAGAGUGCUCUGUUCUUGAAGUACUUGCACAUGGUGAAAAUGGUGGAGCUGAGAAAAUUAAGUUUCAGGGGCUAAAGUUUCUAGGAUUGGAUAGGCUACCAAAGCUGAUAGGUCUUUGCAACACUGCUAAUGUAAUUGAGCUACCACAGCUGGUGGAGUUGGAACUUGAUGGCCUUCCUAACUUCAAUAGCAUUUAUCCAAAGAAAACAUCUGCAACAUCUUCUAUGUCCAGUAAUGACUCUGCAAUUCAACCAUUAUUUAACAAACAGGUACCUCUAUAUUAGGAUUUAUGUUGACAGUUUCAUAGAUUGACUUAUAAUCAACAAGUCUUAAUUGUUGUGCAGGUGCUGAUUCCUAAGUUGGAGAAAUUGAGGAUUUGGAGGAUGGAUAAGCUGAAAGAGAUAUGGCCUUAUCAAGUUAUAAGUAGCAAAGACGUUGAUGCCUGCGUGUUGAGAAAGAUUGAAGUGAGGGGAUGUGAUAAUCUUGUGAAUCUGUUUCCAACCAAUCCCAUGUCUUUGCUGGGUUGUCUGGAAGUGCUUGAUGUUUCUAAUUGUGGAAACAUUGAAGUGUUAUUUAACAUCGACAUGAGUUGUGUUGGUGAAAUUGAAGAACACAGUAGCAACUUGAGACAAAUUGAAGUAUCUAAUUUGGAGAAGCUAAGAGAGUUGUGGAGGAUGAAAGGUGAAAGUAGCUCUGAUAUCCUCAUCCGUACCUUUCAAGCUGUUGAAAGUAUAGAAAUAGAAGAGUGCAAGAGGUUUGUAAACGUAUUCACACCGACCGUCACCAAUUCUGAUGUGAAAACAGUUAUGAAUGUGAGUAUAGAUGGAAGGAGACCUUCUGAAGAAACCAGGAGCAACAUUGAAUUGGUUCAGAACAGCCAGGAGGUAUGUGAUGUCAUUGAGCUUUCAAUUUCUCUUUUGAUGUUAACAACUUAUGUAUAUGUGUCUCUAUACAUACAUACACGUAUAUAACAUAUCACACUACAACAAAUCAAUCAAUUCUACACAAUUCUUUCGAUGUGUUCUGCUAGAUUCUCACUCUUGAAUUUCAAUCACACAAGGAUGGAAAGGAGAAAUACAAGAAAUUAUAGAUCUCACACUGGAAAUUGAUGAUCUAAUGAUCAAUUUUACAUACAUGUGAUAGAAAUCUGGCGGUUUGAGUUGCCAAGAUCUCCCAAAGCGACUAAUCUCUAAAAUAAUUGAUAAGAUGUCUCUCCUAACUGAUCUCUUACAAUAUAAAGGCAUAACUGAAAUAGUUAAUUUACUUAUUUACCCGUGCUGCCCACAAUUGCUUACUCAUGGUUUAAAUCCUUUCUUGCCUCUUUGUGAAUAAGUAAGAAUUGGUUUAUUUCCCUUCUUGCCCCUCCUUGAAUAUGUGAACAUGAGUUAUAUUUAUUUGUAAUUAUAUUUGUUGUUGAGAUAUGUGCAGAUUAAUGUAAUAUCCAAGGAAGAGAUCAUUUCAGAGGUGGAUGGUAAUAUUCCUGACGUUGAAUCCUCAAUUCAUCCCAAACCUUUUAACGUUAAUCACCUUCAAGUACUUGGCUGUAAGGAUGUUGAAGUGGUGUUUGAGAUAGAGAGUUCCAGUAACAGCAACAGCACCACAGAUUUCACAACAAGUCUGCAUAAAUAUAAUCAUCAACCACCACCACUACUACUUCCCCACCUCAAGUCUUUAUAUUUAAUAAAUAUGGAGAGGAUGAGUGAUGUGUGGAAGUGCAAUUGGAAGAAACUUGUAAUUCAUCAAAACCAAUCACAAUCCUACUCAUUCCACAACCUCACAAUCAUACACAUGGAAAAGUGUCAUACCAUAAAGUACUUAUUUUCACCUGUCAUGGGCAAACUUCUUCCCAACUUAAAGGAUGUCUGGAUACAUGAGUGUGAUGGUAUUGAAGAAGUUGUUUCAAAUAGAGAUAUUAAUGAUGAAAAUGAAGAAAUAAUAUCUUCUACUCACACAAACACCAUCUCCUCCUUCCCUCUUCUUGAUUCUCUCUACCUUUUUAAUCUGCCAAGCCUAAAGAGUAUCGAUGGCGGUACUACAAUCACAACUACUUCCAUCCAUGAUCAGUUCCAGGUAUAUUUGAUUUCUUUUAAGCGAAUCCUUUACAUAUUUCAGUUAUUUGUUUUAUUUAAAUAUAUAUUUAUUUUUAAUAUUCUAUUUUCCAUUAGCUGCUUUAUAUAACUCCCUAAGCUAAUUCUUCUGAAGCUGGAAAGACAAAAAUAAAUAACUACAUGCAUAGUAUUUAAUAGUUUUUUCAUUUGCGUAGGUCAUUAAGUUGAUUUAGGAUAAGACCGGAUUGUCAGGGAGAGAAAAAAAUUGAUUGAUGGAUGUAUAUAAGUCAUAUGAAAAAUAGAAAAAAAAUGAUUUUAUUGAUGCUUUUUUUUGUUCUGUUUUUUUUUUUUUUUUUUUUUUUUUUUGUUUUGUUUUGUUUUGUUUCCUAGCAUGCUAGUUUGGCUUAGUAAAAUUCGGUUUGUUGUUUAAGAGAAAUAUCUUUUUUGCUGACAUUGAACAAAACAAUAUGAAACUUUAUGUAGCUGUAUCUAAUGUGCCAACUGAAAAUAUAUAAAUACAAUAUGUGACAAUAGGCUCCUGUUUACAAUUUCUUUUGUACCAGAAAAGUGUGCUAUUCAAAAUAUUAACUUUAAGACAUUGAACUAUUAUAGAGUCAAAUGUCAAUGUUGUCAAUUUUGGAAAUAUCUCUAGAUCUUAAUUUAUCAAGUAUAAUUAGCCAACUUUUUACUGAAAAGGACUCCCUUGAAAAAAAUCUUUGUUCUAAAAAUGCUUUCGAUCUAUUUAGCAUAUUAGAAUUAAGAUAGAUUUUAUAAAAAUACAAUUAAUGAAAAUUUAUAGAUGUAUAAUAAAUUAACAUGAAGAAGAUGAUGCAUGUAUAAUAAUUUAACCGUUCAUGUUAGUAAAAUUAUUUAAAACAUGAAGAAGAUGAUGCAUGUAAUCAAUGCAGGUAUGGAAAUAUAAGCAUAUUGAUUGCAAACUCAUUUCCUAAUAAUAAAUAAAUUUAGAAGUACAAUUAUGUUUUCAUUUUCUCACAUUGAGGGGGUAAUGGGUUAUAUAGUCCAAUGAUAUUUGUUUUCUCUUCAUAAAUCAUGGCACUAUAAUAAUUUUGAAUGGGGCCAUAUACAGAAAACCAUUAUAUUUUAGUCAUUUUUUUCUGUUCAACAUAUUUUCAUUUACUUUCUUAUUAUAGCAUCAUACUUUCAUUUCUUCCAGUUAUAGCAUCAUACUUUGAAAAAUAUACCCAAUUACACAUGGCUACAAUGGCUUGAUAAGAAAAGUUGAAAGUAGAAUGCUAUAAAUGGGUGGAUUUUGAAAGUACCUAUAUGCUGGUCUUGGGUCAUUUAUUAAAGGCUAAAAUGCUAGAAAUAGCAAUUUACUUUCAUCGAUUUGCUUAUCAGAGCAUCAUACUUUCUCUUUUUCCUAUUAAAGCAUUGUAGUUUAAGAAACCCACCCAAUUAUAGCAGUGUCAUCUAAAUACAAUGGAUUUCUGUUGCUGUAAUANNNNNNNNNNNNNNNNNNNNNNNNNNAGCAUAUUCAUAUAUAUAAAUAUAUAUAUAUAUAUAUAUAUAUAUAUAUAUAUAUAUAUGUUGAUUAAUUGCUAAUAAAAGUACUUCAAAGUCUGUUCAUUUUCAAGUUUUAAUUUGAAUAAAUGCUAAUUAAUUGUGUUAAUUAGCACCCUGGCAGUUUUGUUUUUUCUUGUUUCUAUUUUCUUUUUUGUAGCUGUUCAAAAUCUCCUGUAAGCCUAUAUAAUUAAGGCCCCUUUUAUGAUUGAUUUAGUGUACCUUUUCUUUCAUCCACCAUCUACUUGUUCUCUCUUGCCAACAAUAUAAAGCAUAGCAUACAACUGUUUUCUUGUUUUUCGUUAUUUGGCUAUACAUAUAACAAGGGUAUUUUGGUCAUUUGACAAACCGUCUUCCUUAAUGGAGUGGAGUCCAAACACCACAGUCUGAUUUCUCUUAAUUCAAAUUUUCACCAUAAAAUCCAACAUGAACUUUGUCUUUUAAACAAUUUGAAUCCUUCAAAAAUAGGCCCAGAUUUUGUGGCCUAGGUGGUCUUCUAUAAUAAACGAAUAAUUGGAAAUGCGGUGCUAUUUCUUGCAUUUAGCCCUUCUUCAAUACAAACAAGUAAAGUUCAUAGUUACAAAAUUUUGCAUAUUUUAUGGUUUAUAUUAUGCUUUUAUGUGUUUAUAGACGUGUUCCUGCAGACAUGUGUGAAAUAUAUAUGUUGAUUAAUUACUAAUCAAAGUACUUCAAAGUCUCUUCAGUUUCGAGUUUUAAUUUGAAUAAAUGCUAAUUAGUUGUGUUAAUUAGCACCCUGGCAGUUUUGUUUUUUCUUGUUUCUAUUUCCUUUUUUCUAGCUGUUCAUAUUCUCGUAUUAGCCUGUAUAAGGCCACUUUUAUGAUUGAUUUAGUGUACCUUUUCUUUCAUCCACCAUCUACUUGUUCUCUCUUGCCAACAAUAUAAGGCAUAGCAUACAACUGAUUUCUCGUUUUUAGUUAUUCGGUUAUAUAUAACAAGGGUAUUUUGGUCAUUUGACAAACCUUCUUCCUUAAUGGAGUGUCCAAAAACCACGAUCUGAUUUCUCUUAAUUCAUUUUUUCACCAUAAAAUCUAACAUGAACUUUGUCUUGUAAACCAUUUGAAUCUUUCACAUGUAGGCCCAGAUUUUGUGGCCUAGGUGGUCUUCUAUGUUUAUGCUGAUUCUGUGUCUUUCAGAAGUAUGCUUCUUAUGAUCCUUCCACUCUCUUCAUGUCGUUGAUUCUGUCUGUCACCAUCAGAACCUCAUAAAAGUUUCUGCUGAGGUGUCAUGCCAGUGGUGACCUGGAAUUUGUGAAAAGUCUAAUGCCAUUUAUUUUCUCUUCAUAAAUCAUGGCACUCUACUUCAGCUUGCCUUAUGAAAUCCACCCAAGUUUGGAGAAAUGUUCUAUGCUGACCACUUUGACCUGCUAUAGCAGGUUAAAGUGGUCACAAUAGAAAAUUUUGUCAAAGUUGAGUGGCUUUAGUGAAAUUAAGUGGACUAAACUUUGACAACCUUUUCAAUUAUGACCACUUUAACCUGCUAUAGUAGGUCAAAUUUGUCGAUAUAGAAAGAAAUUUCAAACUUGGGUAGGUUUGAUGAGCUAAAACUGAAAUGGAAUUGUUAAACUGCAAAAAAAUGGCCGAGAUAUAUUGCCCUUUUGUAGUUCAACUUACAUUGUCGACGUUACUGAACUACCUUAGUUUUGGGAAGCACUUGUGCAUGUACAUAGCAAACAGCUAAGCUUUGUUAAUUUAAAUAGAUCCAUUGAUUUUUCAUGUGUUGUUGUAGUGUUCUCAAGUCGGUGUUGCUUCUUGGUUCUUAUGCCAAUACUCCAAACACAUACAUAUAUGGAAUUGUCCUGCCCUAUCAAGAGUGUUUCCAUCCAAUGUAGUGGGACAACUGAAUAAGCUUGAAGUGUUGAGCAUAUCAGAUUGCAAGUCAAUGGUGGAGAUAUUUGAAAGUAAAGAAAUAAACAAAGAUGGUGUUGAUAGUACUACGAAUGUUGGUGAUGGAAGUGAUGAUACUUGUACUGCAAUCACCAUCCCAAGGUCGGCUAAUAUGACUCUGCUUCAAUUGUCCAACCUAACGAUAUUGAGAAUCUAUGACUGUGAAGUAUUGGAAUAUAUAUUCACAAGUUCCACACUUGAAAGCCUCAAGCAACUCAAAGAACUGAUGGUAGUUAAAUGCAAGGCAAUGAAAGUGAUUGUGAAGGAAGACGGAGAUUUACCAGAACUCAAGGGUUUCUUCCGUCGUCUCAAGUCCCUUACACUUGUAGAUUUACCAGAUCUGAAGGGUUUCUUCUUGGGGAAGAAUGAGUUCAGGUGGAAAGCAUUGGAAAAGGUUAAGAUUUAUGGCUGCCCACAAAUGAUGAAUUUCACAUCUGGUCACUCCAUGACUCCGAAGCUCAACUACAUACAUACAGGAUUAGGCAAGCAUAGUCUUGAAUGUGGCCUCAACUUCAAUUUGACCAAUGUUACACAAGAGGUAUGUUGUUACUUUACUUCAUCAUUUAACCAGAUGAUCAGCAUGUUGUUUUAUGAUGUUCAACAUAUUAUUUGCUUACAAAUUUAGAUGGUUCAUAUGCAAAACAUAGUAUUUGCUUACACUAUGGGGGGUUUUUCCAGGUCGGUUCAUAUGUGUAUUCCGGAAGAAACACAAAACAAAACCAAAUGAAGAUACAUAUAUAACCACUUCCCAUCUUUUGUAUCUAUAAAAAGUUACGAAAAUAUGCAAUUUUUUUUAUUAUAAGUUAAUAUUUCAUUCCUAAGAUAUUAAGUGGUCUCUUAUGUUAUAAAAGAUGUUAUAUUCACUAAUUCAUAAGUUAGCAAUUUAAUAUUUUAAUCAAGUUAGAUGAAGUAAAGACAAAAGGCCCAAUUGACAUAUUCACUGAGGGUGGUUUUUUCCAUGUCUAAAGAUUUUUGAACAUAUACUAUACUAGUUUCCGUUUGAUCAGAAUCAGAUCAACAACCCCUUCUUCUUUACAGUGUCCCUAUUGUAACCACAAAAAUCAACAAAUACAGGGACCAAAUUUGCAGUUUUCGCUAAAACGUAUUUUAAUUUGACAAAAAAAUUGAUCGGUUUGUAGAAAAACAAAGUAUUCAAUUAAAGGAAUAACAAAAUAAGCACCUAAGAAAAAGUGCUUCUAAAAUUCACAAAAUAUUUACGUUCCUUAAAAAUACAAGACUUAAGAAUUUAUAUCAAAUAUAUGAACAUAAAAAAUUAUUUUCUUGUGUAUUACAAAUGAUACUUGGCAAGUUCAUUCUUAUUCAAAUCAUUUGUAAAUUUCAUAGAAUGUGAUCGUUUGGUACCUGACAUAAAUCAUUUAUUAGGAACUUAGAACUAACAUCUUCAUUCGGUUAAGAAAAGAAAACACAAAAUAGAUGGAAAUUGAAGCAUUGCCUCAUUUUACAUAUUUUCACUCAUAUCUGUUAACAAAUAGAUUUUUGUAUGGAAGUAUAUAUUGUAAUUAAAUCAUUUAUAUCGUUUUCAUCCAAUUUAAUUCAAUUAUCUAACAUAUUUUAUAAAUAUUGUGAUGCUAGUUGUUACUUAAUCAAGUUCUUCUUUUCUCUCUCAUCUUUUACAAGGUAAACAUUUUUUUAGCGUUUAUUACCUAAAAUUGACGAAAAUAGUAUAGCUGAGAUGAUUGUAAAAGUGUAAGUAUAUCAUCCAUAUAUCAUUUGUUGUAUUUGACAAUGCCAUAAAAAAUACAAUAACAUAAUUAUCUUUUUUCCUAAAAAAAUUGGAUGUAAAUAUUCAGUACAUGAAAAAUUACCCUUUUUGAAGUAGCCAAAACACUUAACUUUUACUUUUUAUUUUAUCCCCCCCACCCACCCACUCACCCACAAACUAUCAUUUUUACUUUUAUUUAAAAAGACUCGACAAUCAUCGAUAACAAUCUAAAUUAUUUGAGCAAAUGCAAUAUAUAAAGCUGAAAUUUUCUUCAUGGUGCUCAUCUUCACAAAAUAUAAUGUAAGCAGUGUCAUAAACUAGGUUGUUGAUUGGAAAUACAUGUUGGCUCAUUGAAGAAUAACAUAACUUGCAAUCCUUAUUAUGUUUGUAAUAUUAAAUGUAUUUUUCUUUAAUAAUUGUCGUGUUUGUGAUGAUCUAUCUAUGUUUGAUUUUUCUUAGCAGACUCAACUUCCUAUGUGCUCUAUUCCAGAUAUGAUAAUGCUAGUUCAGUUCCCAUGGUCUUUUUCAAAUUUAGUUGAAGUAGAUGCACAAGGGAGUGACAAAUUGUUGAAAAGCCACAUAAUUUUUCCAUGCAAGGAGUUGCUGAAUUUGAAGAAUCUUGAAAAGCUUUCUAUUAUUACCAGCAAGUAUGGUGAAUCUAAAAUAGAGGAGGUAUUUGAAGUAGCAGAAGGGACAAAUGAAGAUGUGGAUAUUGAAACACAAUCUGUUGUGGUAUUUGAGAAGCUGAAAGAGGUGACUUUGGGUAGAUUAAAUAAUCUGAAGCAUAUGUGGAAGAGCAAUCGGUGGAUAGUGUUGAACUUUCCAAACCUUACAAAGGUCUCAAUUGAAAGUUGUAAGCUUCUUGGACACGUUUUCAGUAGUUGCAUGGUUGGCAGUCUAUUGCAGCUCCAAGAGCUACAAAUAAGUAACUGCGAGAGUAUGGAUGUGAUUGUGAAGCAAGUUGAAGAUUCCAAAACCAGACCGACUACAAAGGUUGUGUUCCCUUGUCUAAAAUCCAUAACACUUGAAAUGCUUCCAAAUCUCAAGGGAUUUUGCCUGGGGAAGGAGGCUUUUGAAUGGCCAAUAUUAGAUACUUUGGAAAUCAAAGAUUGUCCAAAAAUAACAGUUUUCACAAAUGGGCAAUCAACUACUCCAAAGCUAAAACUAAUAGAUACAACUUUUGGAUUGUGUCAUGCAACGGAAGACCCAAACUCUUUCAUAAAGACCAAACAAGAAGAGGUAUAUGGUGUCUCCUUUGGUUAUUAGUAACAGAUUAAUAUGUUUGAUCCAACAAAACGUUUACUUUACUCUCGAAUUUACAACUUAUUGUAAUCUCCUCUCCUACAGGGAUGGGAGUUCUAGAGCAACAUCAAAUUCACACGUGCGGUUUGGUUCGUUUUGAAGUUAGCUAUAUAGCACAGGUAAGAUUACAUUGUACACUUAUUUCCUUCUUCCCAAUCAUGUACAUGUUUCUCCACCUUAGUUAUCUGAUCAUUGAAUUGACUUUUUGUCACAGUUGCUUGCUUACUACUCUUUCAAUUCGGGUUAUUGAACUUCUAUUUUCAAGUAAUCUUAUCUAUGAUGUGUCCACUUCUUGUAUUUAAUUAAGCUGUGACCAACUUAGCAAUAAUUACACAAGUUUUUAUUAAUUGGUCUGUACAUGUUCCACUAUUUUAAAUAGUAAAUAAAUUCAGUGGUUGAAGGUGCAUAGAAUGAUAGUCCAUCGUACAUGAAACUUUCUUAGCUCACACCGGGUAAGAAAGAAAAAAAAAGUAUGAAGCUAAUUUGUUAUAACAUAAAACUUCUCUUAAUUCAACAGAUCUGUGCUCUUAAUUUUUAUGAACACCCGGUGUUUGAUAAAAUUCUUCAAUGAAAAAAGACCCAUAAACUUUUGGCUCCUCUUUUAAGUCAAGUGUAUUAAUGUUUGUUUUGUAUAUGAGCACUUAAAUCUUGAGGAAGCGACUCCAUUUCUCUCUUGUAAGUUGAGUGUGUCAGUGUCACCCAUAUAAAAGCUUUGUUUUUCAGUCUCUGAAAUAAAAAGAAUAAAAUUUGGUUACAAAUAUCUUAUGUUCAGUGCAGGUUUCCAUCGCCACCUUCAAUGAAUCUGUCUCAUGAUGAUUUUGAGUUAACAAUUGUUCACUAAACCUAGAUAAGUUACAAUUAUGCCCAUGACUAUGAGCCAUCCAUUGAUUAUUUUAAACCUAUUUGAGAAACAGAACACUUAUGCAUAUUAUCUGAUUUUUGAUGCAUCUGAGGUUUAACAUUUUUUUUAUAAUCAAAUUUAGUUUGAUAUUGGAGUUGUCAUUAUUUAUAAUCACGCUCAGAUUUUGAAAAUGCCACUUAUGUAGAAAUUAUUUGAUGAAAAAAACAUUAUAUUUUCAUUCAUUGUUUAAUUUGUCACUUUGUGCAUGUUUUUGUCGACAUACGGUUGUACCAUAUGAUGACAUGAAAAUUUUUAUGUGGUGGCUGGUUUAGUUGGAUUAAAAGACGUUACCUGUCAAGUUGAUUUUAUGCAGUGGCGGGCUUAGUUAGAAAUAUUUGAUGAAAAAACAUUACAUUUCCAUUUCUUCACAAUCUUCAAACCUUUGGUCAUUUAUUUAAAGUUGCGUAAUGAUCAAUGUUGCAUACUUUAUGUCAGUUGCAUAAAUUUGUAAUGAAAGUGAAACACUGUUGCAGAAUUUGUCUAAAAAAAAUAAAAAAAAUUGGUGCAUAAACUGGUCCUAGAAUGAAACAUAGUUGAAUAAUGAAUAUUAUGUCUAAAAAAAUAUUUUGUUGCAUAAAUUGACUAACAUGUGCAAUCAAUGUCCGUGGCUUAAACAUGUUAAAUCAUAUGGUUAAAAAUGUAAUUCACUCACUUUUCUUAGAAGCAUAUGGUUCCGAAUACAAAUAGAAUCCUAAUAGAUAGAUGAAAAUAAAAUCAUAUUCCUAACCAUCAAACGGCUCCUAGGUGAUUACUUCUUCCCUUUGCUCGACUCAAACGGCUCUAGCUUCGGCCGCAAAGAGUUGACGUUUGAGAUUGGCUAUUUCUUUCUCAAGAGAGUGUAUGUAGUCUGUAUCACUUUCCUUAAUAGUGUGUGAGUCUGAUAGGGCUUCCGAUGGGUGGGGCUUACUAGGUGUAUCCUUAACGUCCUUUCCUUCAUCUGACUCCUGGUCAGAUUCAUCAUAUUCGUAAUCAGUUACCACGUACUCUUCCGGUUCCACUCCGGGUCCCACCUCCCAUUGUAGGGCCUCCUUCAGGCUUUUCUUCAGGAUUGUCAUCUAGACCCACCUCAAUCUCCCUAUAGACUACUAGAGCUUGAUAGUAGGGGUCGUCUUGCUGCAUUCCUGCCAUAUUGCCCGCGUGGGAAGUAUAGGUGUGAAAAGUGUGUGCAUUGGGGUGUAUAAGGAUAGUAUUCUUAAAAUACUCCUACAAUGUUUAUUUUUCUUAAGUUUAGUUCCUUUAACCUAUUUGGAUAGUUAGAUGGUAAGCUUUCGGUUUAUUGACCAUCACGAUUAUUCCCAAACAUAUGUUGAUCUUACUUUGAAUGAAUGUAGUUGAUUAGGCUACAUUGAUCCCCAAUACGAUUACAUAACUGCCCUGAUUAAAUCGCAAUGUUCAAAUCCCCCAAAAACUUUUAUUGUAUAGUAUCAUGCUAUUAUUCUAAAACACGCACAUAGGUAAGUAUUUUAUUUACUCUGUUCAGAGUUAUUUAGCCCCAUUGUGUUUAUAGUUGCAUAUCAUGUAUGCUUAGAUAUGUUAGUUCACUAUAAACAAAGCUCUGAUACCAACCUGUCACACCCCUGAACCAGACGACGGAAACGUCCGGGGGUUCGUGUGACUUAAAUUGAAAUAUUAUCACAAUGAAUAUACAAGAAACAUAACAUAAACAUGACCAUGCAGUAAUACAUUACAACUGACCUUGUUCACAUCAAGUACAUUGUUUACAUUACAAUAUCACAGAGCAUAAAUUGUUUAACGAUUGACAUUUGCACAAAAGAAAGAAAAAGGGAAGAGGGAAAAGGGAAGAGGGAAAGAAAGAAUGGCAUGGAAACAUGAGAUCAUGCAUAGUCACAUGUUGUGUAAUAUGCUUAGAUGACCACUGAACAAUAAUGAGGUGGCUAGCACUCAUUAAUCUUCUUAGUUUCUCCGUUUUUGUAUUGGGCCGAAAUGGGCUGAAGAAAGAGGAAAGGAAUCACUUUGGCCCAUUCUUGGUCUUGCUCGAAAGUGUGAAGUCUCUAUACAAGUUUUCGGCCCAUUGGGCCUUUAGGGUAGUUCAUGGCCCAAUGAAAUCCAAUUGGAGAGGGUUUACGGUCCAAUAAGGAAUUUAAUUCACUUAUGGCCCAAUAAGGCCCAUUAGUGUAAAAUGAUCCAUUCUAGACCCAUAAGGCCCAAAAGGUUAAGUUUCAUGAAAGUGGGUCCAAUUAGGGCCCAUUUAAGGGUUCUAAGCCCAAAGUAGUCAAAUUGAAAGCUUAUUGGUCCAUUAGGCCCAAUAAGGAAAUCCUAGUCCAUAAUGGAUUUAGGUCGGGAUUCUUAGGGUUUUCAAACCCUAACUUGACUUUGUAAUGUUUUGCAUGAAGUUUGGGCUUUAUAAUUGGAUUUUUGAUGAAAGUUUGUUGUUAUUGAAUAACAUCAUAUGCAUAUCAAGUUAUGGUUACAAUUUGUUGUCAUUGAUAUUGUUUACAAAAGUAUAGAAUUUCCUAGCAAAUUUGCUAGUUGUGACAGAUACGACCCGUAUGGGUCGAUUUGGUCAAGUCUACCGACGCAGGAGAUAAGUUCAAGAUUGAUGUUGGAAUAAGUUUUAAGAUUCCUUUAGGAUUCAAGUUUCCUUUUUUACAGUUUCUUUUUAUUAAUGUAUUAGUUUUGGAUAUUGAUUAGGUUUUUUGUUAUUAAGGAUUUGUUUAGGUUUAGCUGGACAUUAUAAAUAAAGCACCUUAGGAACACAUUUUUCUUUAUGCAUGGAAUACAAGUCUUUGACUGUUUUUUUGGAGAAUUCCCUGUUUCUCGAAUCACAGGCGGGUCGACUAAGGUUCUUACCUCCGGGAAGGAUCUUGAUCUUAUUAAAGAUCUAUGUCAGAUGCUGUUAUUUCACCACCUGAAAUAUUAACAAAAAAAAUAAUAAAAAAGUUUCCAAUUACAACUAAAAAGUUUCACUGCCCCUCCCCCAAAACAGAAUCUAGACAUCAGACAUCAGGUAGCAAUGCGAGUGAAAAGAGUGACAACAAUACUGGUAUAACUUACACCGACUCCAAAGGUGAUUUGGAGACACAAAAUAGGUAUUUUAAACUUCUUUCAAUCAUGGAAAUAAAAAGAGUUAGUUACAAGAAUUGUCCUUGUGUUAUACCCAAAGUUGCAUAUUCAAUCCAACUUUGUUUUUUCUGUUUCAUUUUGGUCCCUAACAUUGGUUUUUGUUUCCGAUUUAUCACUGGUCCUGUAAAAUGACAUGUAAAAAUAGUUUAAAAAUAAACAAAUUAUAGAAAACUUUACAUUUUUGUUCCUUAAGUAUGGCUGCUUUUUUGCAAUUUUGGUCCUAAAACGUUUUCUUUUGCAUUUUUUGUCCUUAGUUGACAUUCGUGUAAUGUUUUUGGUCCCGGUUCCAAAUUAAGUGACAAUUUUUUCUCUAUGGGUGUGAUUUUGCAAUUUCGAUCCCAAAAAUAGCCAUUUUACUAGGAACAAGGGAAAAAAAAACGUUAUAAAAAUCUUAAAUAAGGACCAAAUUAGCAUGACAACCUUUUGGGACCAAAAUUAAAAACAUCAGCUAUACUCAGGGACCAAAAAUGCAAUGUACUUUAAAAAGAAACAUAUGAGGGUAGAAAAUUCAUUUUAUUGUAGAAGUUGGACUAAACCUGAAAUGUUGGGAAUAACAUAGAGACCAUUCUUGUAAUUACUCUAAAAAAGAAUAAAACUUGGUAACAAAUGUCUACCUUAUAAUGGGUGCAGUCUUUCAUCGCCACCAUUAUGACGGUUUCGACUUUACCAUUGUUCAUGAAACCCUGAGAAAUGACUAUAAUGCCCUUGAUCAUGAGCCACCCAUUGUGAAGGAAACACCAAUCAAGAGCAGUUACCCUACUACUCUUGAAUCUGUCUCCGAGUCAAUCAUAAUCUAAUCAAAGUUUCCCACUCGUUCCUUUUCUUCCCCUUGUUCCACAUUAGCUUCUGAAUGCAUGAACACAACAACACCGCCUAAAAAACAACAAAUCCCUCAAAACAAUUCACAUAUAGAUUCAAGCGUCAAUUCCCAUUUUCAUAAAAGAAGAAAGUCUUCAGCUUUAGCAUCAGUCAAGAUGGCCCACUUUGAUUCCCCUGACCCUAAAACCAAAUUUCCAGUUAAAGAAACCAUGAAUCUUGAUGAUGAAACCAAGAAUGAUCUAAAAAUAUCGUGUUCACUAUGUGCAAAACCCACUGGGUCUUGCGGAAAAUGACUAUUAUGUCCCUUGUUCUUUGAUGUCGUUAUCUAAGGUGCAGUUGGUGUCAAGUUGGAAAGGGAGAGAAAAGGGUCUCACAUGUGUAGCUGUUGUGGUGUCUGAUAUUACAUGUGUUGAUGGGAGAAUUUGGAGCAAAGAAGAUGGAUGUGUAUUAAAUACGGCUUUCUACCCUUUCUGUAGUGAUCAAGUCAAUUGCCUUGGGUUACAUGUUGUGGCAACUGAUUCCUCUAAUGUGUAGCUUUUAAACAAGGUAUCAUAUCAAUUCAUACUAUUAUAAUAUCUUGUCGCAUAUCCAACUGAUAAUUAUUGAGGGCAUAUUGGUUAUUUUGUUGAUUUAUGUUUUGGGAGUUGGGAGUUGGGAUGUGAUGAAUAUGAUCACAAAAUAUCUUUGAUCCUUCAGAGAUAUACAACCAACUUAUAUAACUUUUCUAUAUGCAGGUGCUCUUUUAUUCUGAAAGACUAGAAAUCCAACAUAUCGAUACAUCAACAACAAAUAACGUAAUUUUGCAUACGUUUCAAAUCGAAAGUGACUCCCUUAAAACAUUUGCAACUUUUGUCUUAUUGAAAUCAGGCACACAGUCCCAAUCCAAUACAUACCAAAUGCAGUACAACCUGUUUUUUCAUAUACCGUCAUGUGUAACAAACUGGAUUUUAAUUGUAGGAAGUCUCACCUUCUAGUGUUACAAGUUUGAGUAAAGGCGUCUCACAAAAUCCGUUUGAGAAAUUUGCCUACACAUCUCCACAAACCAACUUGAUAGGUUGAAGAACCACAAAAUCUAAGGUCAAAAAUCUAUAAUAUCUUGUUAUUUAUAGAUUCAUUAAACGUAUUUUAAAUUCUAGUUAAAGUUAAACUAUGUUUGUUGAUCAUGCAGAUGAGAUUACCAAAGAAAGUCCAAGUAUCCACUUCUGAAUAUUAAUGCCUAACCUUACAUGUAAAUUCUCAAUCAUUGCUAAAUUGGUUUUAAACCUAUUUGGGAAAUUUAGGAUCUAUGGUUAUUAUAUUAAUUUCAUGAUACAUUUGAGGUGUAUGACCAAUAAAAUGUGACUAUUGUAGUUGUAACAUUCUUUAUGACCAGCCAUAGUUUUAAUUUUGUUGUUUAUAAUGUUAUUUUCCUGCUUUUGGACAUGUUAAAUAAUCAACUCUAAUACGUUUUAAUUAAAGAUAUAAUAUUUUGAUGUAGAAAGUUGGAAUGAUCAAAUGAUUAGUAUUUAGUAGGUUAAGUGUUUUUAAUGAUAAAUAAAAUAUUUUUUACUAUAAAAUAGCCAACAAGACCAUAAAAGUAAUAUUUUGCUAAACAUGAAAUUAUAUUUCACUAAUUCAACCAUUUAAACCCUCGUCCAAGAAAACCAAUGGGACCAUUAUGGACUAUGAAAAAGAGAAUACGGAAAUGAUAGAUGUUGAAAUGAUGAAAGAAAUAUCUUACUUAAAUUUGUAUCACUCUUUAUUGUCUAAUCAUUUCCCAUUUUCCUAUUUGUUUUUCAUUUUUCAUUAGGCUUCAUGAUUUUUGUAGAUGGUGGUUUCCUGAUAGUGAGGUCAUAGAUUAAAUUUAUGUAAAUUUGUGCGUUCAAAUGUUAAAGGUCAUUCGAACGUAUUUGCUAUUGAUAUUUGAUUAUUUUUGCUAUCAUUAAUUUGGCUCAAACGGAAAAGUACAACUCUUUGCAGUUAGAUAAAAAAAAUUGUGAUCGAAUUUACUUUGACUGCAUUGAUAAAAUAUGAAACAAUUAAAGAAGUUUGCAAUCACGUGGACAUAUUGCGUACUCAGUCUAAUUUUGAUAAGUGGUACCGGUUAGAGUCAUAUAUUCAAACACUUCAAUCUAAUACUAUGAGUGUCCAAGAUUUUUUGUUAGGACGUUUUGUUAUUAAAAGUUUUGAACUAUUUUUUCUCAUUAUUUUAAACCAUUUAAUUUAAUAUGAUAUGGUUUUUUAAAACACAUGUUUUAGUUGUUAAAUUAAAUUAUUACAUAAGCUUUUUCAAAUAUUAGACCAACUAAUAAUCAUCCCACUAAAUACAAUUAUUUUGAAAUUUUUUACAAAUUCUCUUUUUCUUUUUUGCAAAGGGAUGCCCAAAAUUAGGGUGAUAUAUAUGUGGUGUAAAUGAAAUAUCACAUAUUAAGGUGGGGUAGGGAUCCGACAUUGUAUCGUGCUUCAAUAGAAACCGGUGGGACCUUUGACUGUUAGUAUAUUACUUGUGCUAUACUCUGUAGUAUGUUAGGCAAUGCUCUUAGUACCUAGAUUAUGACUGUUGACUGCAUUAUUUCCAUCCAUCCAAUACCAUGGUAUUUGCAGGUCAACAGCAAUAAUUGAGGCUUGUUCAUACUUCAAUAUAUUGGCCUUCUUCUUCACAAUUCCAACCAGUUGUACACAUACGCACUUUACAAAGCAGCAAAAACAGCAAGCAUUAGCACAGGCGCAUAUAGUAGAAGAGGUAUGUUUUUGUUGAAAGUUUUUCUCUUUGUUUAUGAAUAAUUUUUCUUAGUUGUUUUUAGUUUUCAAUCUAUCGAUCCUUGACGAAAUUAUCUGAAAAAAAUGUUUUGCUUUGUUACUUGUUGUGGAUUGUUCGUGUAUGCUCCACAUAUAAAAUCAAGUCAAUGUUUAAAUGAAUGACAAUGCCUCCUCAUUUUCCCUCUUUUGAUUAUUGAACAAUGUUUUGGAGGAAUGGUUUUCUUAGGACAGAUGCUUCCACGUAGAGAUCAGUUCUAGCCCUAAUAAACCCCCUAAUAGUAUCACUGUGGGACUCUGUUUCCAACUAAUAGAUACCCUAAUUAAAAGGCACGGUAUUUUGUUCCUCAUCUCUCACAAUUUUACAUGAUGAUGAAGAUGUUGAAAUUAACAAUCUAUUCCCACUUUCAAUCAUUUCAAAGAAAACCAAGGUUAAGUUGACAAGGGAAGACAAACAGCAAAAUUAACUAUGAAUUUACAUACACAUUAAUUUACCAACUAUCAAUUCUAUUCUAGCCAAACUUAUUAUGUGUCCUGAAUCCUGAAGGAAACUUUUUAUAACACUAAUUAUCUAUGGAUUGUAUAUGAUAUUUGAAAAAAGAUAGCUGCGCAGGCUAAUAAUUAACAACUUUUAACAAUUUCAUUGCCUUUUUUAUCUGUUACAGGUCUUUGUAAAAGCUAGAAUAUUGAAAGAUGGAGCUUGUAUCUACAAUCAUUAGUCCUAUUGUUGAAUCUUUAAUUGCUCCUGUCAAGAAACAACUGAGAUAUCUCUUUUCGUCCACGAAACAUGUUAGGAACAUGAAUACUAAAAUAAAGCUACUGGAUGAUACAAGCCGUGAUGUCAAAAAGCACAUGGAAACAAACAAUAGAAGUAAUCUGGAGAUACCUACUCAUGUACUGGGGUGGUUGAAAGAAGUCGAAAAGACUAAAGAAAAAGCUCAAAGCAUUCCAAGUACUGGGAACGGAUGUUGUAACUUGAAAAUGAGGUAUCGAGCUGGAAGGAAGGCAUUCAAGACUACGGAGGAGAUGGAAAGUCUUAUUGAUGAAAAUAGUAAGAUAAUUUGGACAAAUGCUCAAAGACCUCUUGGGAAAGUGAACUCAGAAAUCGCAUCCAGUUCUGCACCUUCGGAUGGUGAUGCCCAAAAUCACUUCAAAUCAAGAGAGAAGUCUUUUAAGAACGCCUUGGAGUCCCUCCAACAAGAUCACAAGAGCAAAGUGAUAGCCCUAUGUGGAAUGGGUGGUGUGGGGAAAACCACCAUGAUGGAGCAACUGAAAAAGGCUGCAGAAGAUAAGAAAAUGUUUGAUUAUGUUGUGAAGGUGGUUAUUGGGCAACAAAUUAACAUGCUUUCUAUUCAGCAAGAUGUGGCAGUGUAUAUGAUGGGCCAAUCCCUCACUGAACUGAGUAAAGAAGCAAGAGCAGAUCGUCUUCGUAUAACAUUUGGAAACCUUCCAGAAGGUAGAAGAAAGGUUUUACUAAUACUAGAUGAUGUAUGGGAGACGAUUGAACUCAAAGAUAUUGGACUGAGUCCUUUGCCCAACAGCUUCAAGUUGUUGUUGACAUCACGGAAUGAAAAUAUUUGCAAACAAAUUGCAGUAGAAGCUAAUUCGGAGUCGACACUAGUUCGAGUGGAUGUGAUGGAGGAGCCCGAAGCACAAAAUUUCUUUUGGCAAAUCACAGGAGUUUCAAAACAACAUGAUAUGGAGCUCAAUCAAAUAGGAAGUGAAAUUGUGAGAAGAUGUGGUUUUUUGCCCCUUGCCAUUAAACUCAUCGCUAAAACCCUUCAAUUUCAUGAAGUUUUUGUAUGGAGAGAUACUUUUCAACGGUUGAAGAAGAAGAAUCUUGAUGAGAAUGUGCAAGAAGUUAUUAAGAUAAGCUAUAAUUAUAUAAAAACAGAGGAGGAAAAGGUGAUUUUUCUUCUGUGUGGCUUGUUUCCUGAUGACUUUAAUAUCCCAAUUGAGGAACUCACAAGAUAUGCAUGGGGCCUACAGUUAUUAAGUGAAGUAUCCACUUUGGGAGAGGCUAGAGACAGGACAAAAAUGUGUGUGCAGAAUCUUAGAAAUGCAAAUUUGUUGAUGGAUAGCGAUUGGAUUGGGUGUGUCAAAAUGCAUGAUCUUGUGCUUGCUUUUGUCAUAAGUAGAGUUUCUAAAGGUCAUCAUCCAUGGAUAAUCAACCAUGGUGAUGUUUCAAAGUGGAGUAGAGCUGAAGUGAAAGAGUCUUGCAAAAGAAUCUCUAUUACUUGCACAGGUAUGUCUGAGUUUCCUGGUGACUCUAAGUACCCAAACCUAUCACUUUUGAGACUUAUGGAUGGAGAUAAGUCGCUUAAGUUUCCUGAAGGUUUUUAUGAAAAAAUGGAAAAUCUUGAAGUUGUAGCAUAUGAAAAAAUGCAGUAUGCGUUGCUUCCCAGAUCACUUGAAUGCUCCACCAAGCUACGAACACUCAUUCUCCAUAAAUGCUUAUUGAUGUUUGAUUGCUCUGUUAUUGGUGAACUCUUAAAUCUCGAAGUGCUUAGUUUUGCACAUUGUGGCAUCAGAAAGUUACCAUCCACAAUCGGAAAGUUGAAGAAGCUAAUGCUACUGGAUUUGACGGGCUGUAUCAAUCUUCGUAUUGAUGAUGGUGUCUUGAAAGAUUUGGUCAAUCUUGAAGAGCUUUAUAUGAGAGUUGCUGAUGAAAAGGCAAUUAGGUUCACAAACAGCAAUCGUGCUGAAUUAGCAGAGCUUUCAAAGCACCUUUUUGCAUUAGAAGCUGAGUUCUUUGACAACAACAAUACACCCGAGAAUAUGCUGUUUACUAAACUUAGAAGGUUCAGGAUCGCUAUGGGAUGUGGUUUAGUAGCCAAUACUGACAAAAAUAUGCACUCAUUUGAAAACACGUUGAGGUUGGUCACUAACAAGAAUGAGCUAUUGGAAUCUGGAAUGAAUGAGUUAUUUGAGAAAACUGAGGUGCUUUAUUUGGAGGUGGAUGGUAUGAAUGAUCUUGAAGAAGUUUUAUUGGAAUCAGUUCAUCUCCCUCGAUCGGUGUUUAAUAAUCUAAGAGUCCUUGAUGUGUUCAAAUGUGAAAACUUAAGAUACCUCUUUACAGUCCCUAUUGCAAAUGGUCUGGUGAAGCUUGAGCGCCUCACAGUUUCAGAGUGCUCUGUUCUUGAAGUACUUGCACGUAGUGAGAAUGGUGUAGCUGGGAAAAUUAAGUUUCAGGAGCUAAAGUUUCUAAGUUUGAAAAGCCUACCAAAGUUGAUAGGUCUUUGCAACACUACUAAUGUAAUUGAGCUACCACAGCUGGUGGAGUUGGAACUUGAUGGCCUUCCUAACUUCGGUAGCAUUUAUCCAAAGAAAACAUCUGCAACAUCUUCUAUGUCCAGUAAUGACUCUGCAAUUCAACCAUUCUUUAACAAACAGGUAAUUCUAUAUUAGGAUUUAUGUUGACAGUUUCAUAGAUUGUCUUGUAAUGAAAGUCUGUAUUGAUUGGAUUGUGAUCCCCCAAGCAAACUAUUUUCGAUUUUGGUUUCACUAUUGAUGAUUAACAAGUCUUAAUUGUUGUGCAGGUGCUGAUUCCUAAGCUGGAGAUAUUGGAAAUUGGGAGGAUGAAUAAGCUGAAAGAGAUAUGGCCUUAUCAAUCUAGUAGUAGUGACGAAGUUAAUGCCUGCAUGUUGAGAGAGAUUAGAGUGAGGGAAUGUGAUAAUCUUGUGAAUCUGUUUCCAACCAAUCCCAUGUCUUUGCUGGGUCGUCUGGAAGAGCUUGUUGUUUCUAAUUGUGGAAGCAUUGAAGUGUUAUUUAACAUCGACAUGAGUUGUGUUGGUGAAAUUGAAGAAUACAGUAGCAACUUGAGACUCAUUAAUGUAGAUGGUUUGGGGAAGCUAAGAGAGUUGUGGAGGAUGAAAGGUGAAAGUAGCUCUGAUAUCCUCAUCCGUACCUUUCAAGCUGUUGAAAGUAUAGAAAUAAGAGAGUGUGAGAGGUUUGUAAACGUAUUCACACCGACCGUGAGCAAUUCUGAUGUGAGGACACUUAUGAAUGUGAGUAUAGAUGGAAGGAGACCUUCUGAAGAAACCAGGAGCAACAUUGAAUUGAUUCAGAACAGCCAGGAGGUAUGUGAUGUCAUUGAGCUUUCAAUUUCUAUUUUGAUGUUUAUAACUUAUGUAUAUGUGUCUCUAUACAUACAUACACGUAUAUAAUAUAUCACACUAUAACAAAUCAAUCAAUUCCACACAAUUCUUUCGAUGUGUUCUGCUAGAUUCUCACUCUUGAAUUUCAAUCACACAAGGAUGGAAAGGAGAAAUACAAGAAAUUAUAGAUCUCACACAGAAAAUUGAUGAUCUAAUGAUUAAUUUUACAUACAUGUGAUAGAAAUCUGGCAGUUUUAGAAGCCAGGAUCUCCCAAAGAGAGUAAUCUCUAAAAUAAUUGAUAAGAUAUCUCUCCUAACUGAUCUCUUACAAUAUAAAGACAUAACUGAAAUAGUUAAUUUACAUAAUUACCCUUGCUGCCUACAAUUGCUUAUUCAUGGUUUAAAUCCUUUCUUGCCUCUUUGUGAAUAAGUAAGAAUUGGUUUAUUAUUUCCCUUCUUGCCCCUCCUUGAAUAUGUGAACAUGAGUGGUGGUCUAGCAUGUUCACACUUUAAAGUGCAAUACGAUUAUUAACCUGCGUGAAGAUAUGUAUCCUGUCAAAUUAUUUAUAAAUCUUUACACUUCAACAUGUGAUAAAAACAAAGUUAAAACUCGGAAUUCAAAAACAUGGACAAAUUAUCUAUAUCACUACUACGCUUUUAUUAUUAGCAUAUUUAUAAGCAAGUUAAUGGGGACCAAAAUUCGUAAACAAUUUAAUGGACCUAAACAAAAAAAAACAGAUAAACACAGGGACCAAUUUUGUAAUUUAGUGUGAAAAAUAUCAUUGUGUAAGUGUGUGUAUUUUACAUAUUUAUUUCUAAUUAUAUUUGUUGUUGAGAUAUGUGCAGAUUAAUGUUAUAUCAAAGACAGAGAUUUCAAAGGUGUAUGGUAAUAUCCCUGACAUUGAAUCCUCAAUUCAUCCCAAACCUUUUCACGUUAAUCACCUUCAAACACUUGUUGUAAGUGGCUGUAAGGAUGUUGAAGUGGUGUUUGAGAUAGAGAGUUCCAGUAACAGCAACAGCACCACAGAUUUCACAACAAGUCUGCAUAAAUAUAAUCAUCAACCACCACCACUACUACUUCCCCACCUCAAGUCUUUAUAUUUAAUAAAUAUGGAGAGGAUGAGUGAUGUGUGGAAGUGCAAUUGGAAGAAACUUGUAAUUCCUCAAAACCAAUCACAAUCCUACUCAUUCCACAACCUCACACAAAUAUUCAUGAGUGACUGCCAUAGCAUAAAGUACUUAUUUUCACCUCUCAUGGGCAAACUUCUUCCCAACUUAAAGAGGGUGGAGAUAUGGUUUUGUGAUGGCAUUGAAGAAGUUGUUUCAAAUAGAGAUAUUAAUGAUGAAAAUGAAGAAAUAAUAUCUUCUACUCACACAAACACCAUCUCCUCCUUCCCUCUUCUUGAUCUUCUCAACCUGUGGAAUCUCCCAAGCCUAAAGAGUAUCGAUGGCGGUACUAAAAUCACAACUACUUCCAUCCAUGAUCAGUUCAAGGUAUAUUUGAUUUCCUUUAAGCGAAUCCUUUACAUAUUCAGUUAUUUGUUUUAUUUAUUUUUAAUAUUCUAUUCUCCAUUAGCUGCUUUAUAUAACUCCCUAAGCUAAUUCUUCUGAAGCUGGAAAGACAAAAAUAAAUAACUACAUCAUAGUAUUUAAUAGUUUUUUCAUUUGCGUAGGUCCUUAAGUUGAUUUAUAAUAAGACCGGAUUGUGAGGGGGAAAAAAAUUGAUUGAUGGAUGUAUAUAAGUCUUAUGAAAAAUAGAAAAAAAAAUGAUUUUAUUGAUGCAUUUUUUUUUUGUUUCCUAGCAUGCUAGUUUGGCUUAGUAAAAUUCGGUUUGCUGUUUAAACGAAAUAUCUAUUUUGCUGACAUCGAACAAAAGAAUAUGAAACUUUACAUAAUUGUAUCUAGGUGGCAAUAGUCCUGUUUACAACUUCUUUUGUACCAGAAAAGUUUCCUAUUUAAAAUAUUAACUUUAAUACAUUGAACUAUCAUAGAGUCAAAUGUCAGUAUUGUCAAUUUUGGAAAUAUCUCUAGAUCUUAAUUUAUCUAGUAUAAUUAACCAACUUUUUACUGAAAAGGGCUCCCUUGAAAAAAUCUUUGUUCUAAAAAUGCUUUGGGUCUAUUUAAAUAUUAGAAUUAAGAUAGAUUUUUUUUACGAUAUACAAUUAAUGAAAAUUCAUUGAUGUAUAAUAAAUUAACAUGAAGAAGAUGAUGCAUGUAGAAUAUAUUAACCGUUCAUGAUAGUAAAAUUAUUUAAAACAUGAAGAAGAUGAUGCAUGUAAUCAGUGCAACUGCGGAAACCUAAGCAUAUUGAUUGCAAACUCAUUUCCGAUUAAUAAAUUUAGAAGUAAAGUUAUGUUUUCAUUUUCUCACAUUGAGGGGGUAAUGGGUUAUAGAGUCCAAUGAUAUUUGUUUUCUCUUCAUAAAUCAUGGCACUAUACUAAUUUUGAAUUGGGCCAUAUACGAAAAAACCACUAUACCCAAUUAUAUGUGGCUAUAAAUGGGUGGAUUUUGAAAGUACCUAUAUGCUGGUCUUGGGUCAUUUAUUAAAGGCUAAAAUGCUAGAAAUAACAAUUUACUUUCAUCGAUUUGCUUAUCAAAUCAUCCUACUUUCACUUUUUUCUAUUAAGAAACCCACCCAAUUAUAGCAGUGUCAUCUAAAUACAAAGGAUUUCCGUUGCUGUAAUAGAAAGAAAUGAAAGUAGGAUGCUUUAAUAAAAGAAUAAAUGGAAAUGCGUUGCUAUUUCUUGCAUUUAUCCUUUCUUCAAUACAGACAAGUAAAGUUCAUAGUUACAAUAUUUUGUAUACUUGUAUGUGUUUUAUACAUGUGUUCCUGCAGACACGUGUGAAAUAUAUAUAUGUUGAUUAAUUGCUAAUCAAAGUACUUCAAAGUCUCUUCAGUUUCGAGUUUUAAUUUGAAUAAUUAGUUGCUAAUUAGUUGUGUUAAUCAGCACCCUGGCAGUUUUGUUUUUUCUUGUUUCUAUUUCCUUUUUUCUAGCUGUUCAUAAUCUCGUAUAAGCCUGUAUAAGGCCACUUUUAUGAUUGAUUUAGUGUACCUUUUCUUUCAUCCACCAUCUACUUGUUCUCUCUUGCCAACAAUAUAAAGCAUAGCUUACAACUGAUUUCUUGUUUUUAGUUAUUUGGUUAUAUAUAACAAGGGUAUUUUGGUCAUUUGACAAACCUUCUUCCUUAAUGGAGUGUCCAAACACCACGAUCUGGUUUCUCUUAAUUCAUUUUUUCACCAUAAAAUCCAACAUGAACUUUGUCUUGUAAACCGUUUGAAUCUUUCACAUGUAGGUCCAGAUUUUGUGGCCUAGGUGGUUUUCUAUCCUUAUGCCAAUUCUGUGUCUUUCAGAAGUAUGCUUCUUAUGAUCCUUCCACUUUCUUCAUGUUGUUGAUUCUGUCUGUCACCACCAGAACCUCAUAAAAGUUUCUGCUGAGGUGUCACACUUGUGUUGACCUGGAAUUUGUGAAAAGUCCAAUGCCAUUUAUUUUCUCUUCAUAAAUCAUGGCACUCUACUUUUGCUUGCCUUAUGAAAUCCACCCAAGUUUGGAGAAAUAUUCUAUGCUGACCACUUUGACCUACUAUAGCAGGUUAAAGUGGUCACAAUAGAAAAUUUUGUCAAAGUUGAGUGACUAUAGUGAAAUUAAGUGGACUAAACUUUGACAACCUUUUCAAUUAUGACCACUUUAACCUGCUAUAGUAGGUCAAAUUUGUCGAUAUAGAAAGAAAUUUCAAACUUGGGUAGGUUUGAUGAGCUAAAACUGAAAUGGAAUUGUUAAACUGCAAAAAAUGGCCGAGAUAUUGUGAUUUUUCUGUAUAUUGCCCUUUUGUAGUUCAACUUACAUUGUCGACGUUACUGAAGUACCUUAGUUGUGGGAAGGACUUUUGUUUGUAACCACAUUUCUAGAAACAAAUAUUGCAUUAGAUUGUAGAGUGCAUGUACAUAGCAAACAGCUAAGCUUUGUUAAUUCAAUCAGCUCCAUUGAUUUUUCAUGUGUUGUUGUAGUGUUCUCAAGUCGGUGUUGCUUCUUGGUUCUUAUGCCAAUACUCCAAACACAUACAUAUAUGGAAUUGUCCUGCCCUAUCAAGAGUGUUUCCAUCCAAUGUAGUGGGACAACUGCAUAAGCUUGAAAAGCUGACAAUAUUAGAAUGUAAGUCAAUGGUGGAGAUAUUUGAAAGUAAAGAAAUAAACAAAGAUGGUGUUGAUAGUACUACGAAUGUUGGUGAUGGAAGUGAUGAUACUUGUACUGCAAUCACCAUCCCAAGGUCCGCAGAUAUGACUUUGCUUGAAUUGCCCAACCUAACGAUAUUGGAAAUCUAUGACUGUGAAGUAUUGGAAUAUAUCUUCACAAGUUCCACACUUGAAAGCCUCAAGCAACUCAAAGAACUGA
rnacentral:lncRNA from 1 species